rnacentral:lncRNA from 1 species
UGCAGGCACAACCUUUUUGCUGCUGGUUGUGCCACUUAUUUUUGAGGUGGACAGGGACCAGCAGCUGCAGGAGCUUGAGUCUCAACAAGCGACGCUGUUGGGUGGUGCGGCCCAGCCUGCUGCUGCUGCUGCGGCUGCGGCCAAAUGAGGAUAUAACCAUGAUUUUGUUCUAUCCUGAUGAUUCCUGAAGGUCCCGAGUAUGGGCACUCAUACGAACAUAAAAACUGUUAAUUGCCUUGGGAUCAGAAAAAAAAAAACUAAUAUGAAAGAAAUAAAAAUAGUUGAAUAUUCAUUUGGCUGUUUACAAGAAGCAUGAGACCAAGAUAUUAAGCUGUUUUGAUGAUCUCAUGAGCCAUUUGAUGGAUUAUAGUAAAAUCUGUUUUGAUUCUGCCACCAAGUCUUUUGUCCAUGCCCUGAGCUUCACUGAUCUGCUUAAUGCCCUUCAUGAAGCUCAGAUCUGCUUAAUGCCCUUCUUAUUGCAUCUUAGGUUGCUUAUGGCAUCUUGGGUAAUGUGAUCUUUCUUGAGCUUCACUCAUGCUAUUAUUACAUCUUGGGUUAAUUUUGGGUUGGAUGUCACUUGAAAAAUUGAUAUUGUGAGUGUUUGGAAUAUGGAAAGGGAAUACAAGAAAAUGUGCAUAUCAAUUAGCCCAAAAACCCUAGUUUAUAUAUAGAAGCGAGUGGUCCGAAUUGAAACCAAUCCGACGGUUACUAAAAUCCCACUAUGCUAAUAUUAAUAUAGUCGUACACUUGGCCUUCACAUCAUCCCCUCCUCUUGGAAUAAUGGAAGACCAUUAGGGUUCUUUUGUAGAUGGGCCGGGAUCGGGAGGAACGUCAGGAGGAGGCAUUGGUGGAUUUGUAGGUGGUAUUAAAUCCUCCUAAUCCCUUUGUACUAAGAGUUUUAGUUGCUGCACAUGCACAAUUUCUGGAGUAUUGGCCUGUUAAAUAUCAUGCCGAACCUUAUAAACUUGUGGUCCAACUUGCCGCAACACUCGAUACGGUCCUUUUUACUGCGCAAGAAGCCCUUUAGAUAAACCAUGUAUUGUAAGAUGGGGAAAACGGACUAACACAAAAUCAUCCACUUUGUACUCCGCAAGUGGAUGAUGAUGGGAAUUGUAGCGCCAUUGUUGUCCCACUUGUACACAGCCUAAGUGUUCAACAGACUCUGUUCGGACAAGUGGAAGAAUACUCGUCAAAUACUGAUCACAUGACCUAGCAUCGAUAGCUCGUGGCAACCGCAAAGGUAAACCCAACUCCGUUGGUAAUAUUGGAUCAUGACCAUAUAGGAGUUUAUAUGGUGAAGCACCAAUAGAACUCUGCACCCCUGUGACAUAUGCAUACCGAAGAGACGGCAAAUAACCAUCUCAAUCCGAAUGUUGAAAGUUCACAUAUUUCGCAAUCAUCUUUUUAAAUGUCCGAAUGAGCCGUUCUACCAGACCGUUUGAUUGUGGAUGAUAAGCACUCGUGAAAGUGUGGCGUAUCCCCAACCGAGACGUCAAGACAUGAAAUGCCUCAACCAUAAAUGCAGGACCAUUAUCCGAAAGAAUCCGCUCUGGACAAGAAUACUGGAGCACCACUUGAUUGAGGAGGAAGUAUCCAACAGUAGUUGCAGAGGCGCUAGCAAGAGCACCAACUUCCACCCAACGAGUUAUGUAGUCAGAAGCAAUAAUAACAUACUCAUUGUUAGCAGUCGACCGUGGAAAAGGUCCUAUAAGAUCAAAUGCCACCAACUCAAACGAACAGGAAACUGCAAUUGACUCUAACCGUCCUUCCGCAACACGAGGGGGAGUAUUACGAGCUUGGCACCAAACGCAGCUACGCAUAUACCGGAUAAUAUCACAUCGCAUCUCCAGCCAAUUAAAAGACCGGCGCAGCUUCUCAGUUAGACAACAAUGUCCCAUAUACCCACCUUGAAUUGGAGAAUCAUGGUAGGCAUGGAGAAACCGCAGAAUAAAGAUAGAAGGCACCACCAGCCAUAAAUGAUCAUCAGGAUCCGUCCCCACAAAAUAAAGAAGGCCAUCUUCAAAGCGAUAUUGAGAAUGUAAAUGCAGGAAAGGCAAGUCAUCAGCAAGUGAUGCAAGAUUCUCAAACCCAUCUCGAAGCCUUCAAAUUCAUGGCUUAAUUUUUUUAGCCUCGCAAACCUCAUCAAGAGAAGGUAGAUCUUGCUCUACGCCUUGUGGACACUGAACGUCAAGAACAGCAACUGUCGAGGGCAUAGAAUCCUCGUCUAGAAAAUCCACAAAUGCUGGAACAAUAGGUUCAUCAGAAACAUGAGAAAUGAGUGGAGAAGGAAGAGGAGCUCGAGAAAGGGCAUUAGCAUCAGCCAUAGAACUCCCUGGGCGAUGAACAAAAUCAUAAACAUAUAUCUGAAACUUCAAAGCCCACUGAACAGUAUGACCAACUAGGUUCUUCCGCUUCAAUAAUGAAGUAAUAAUAGCAUGGUCACCUUCAAGUAACGUCCAAGAACCAUGUAGAUAUGCAUGAAGUUUCUUGAAGUUUUUAGACUGCUGCUAAACACUCCUUCUCUGUCGUGGAGUAGUUUAUCUCUGCUAGUUGUAAUUUAUGACUUAUAUAUACAAUGGGAUGGCGGUGAUCAGGCACACUCGAGCUCUCUUGCAUUAACACACCUCCAAGACCAAUGUCAAAAGCAUCCACGUGCAAAACAAAAUGUCGAGUGUAGUUAGGAUAUGCCAAAACUGGAGGAGUUGUCAAUAGCUCUUUGAAAUCCCCGAAUGCCCGCUCACAAUCCGGAGACAAGAUGAAAGAUGACGUUGAUGAUUUCAGCAAUGCUCGCAACGGUGCAGUACGAUCAGAAAGAUGAUCCAUAAAACAACCGAGAUACUGCACCUUGCCUAAGAAGCGUUGCACAUCAUUCACUUCGGAGUAGGGAACUUCAGAAUAGCCACAAGUUUGUCAGGAUCAACUUGCAAACCCUCACGAGAAAUAUGGUACCCAAGAUAAGUUGUGUCCUUGGACCCAAACAUGCACUUCGACCGCUUCAGCUUUAAACCAACGUCACGUAGCCAAUCCAACACUUUACAAACAUCACAAAAGUGCUCCUCCUACGUCCCCUCUGAGUGGAUCAAGACAUUAGCAAUGAAGUCAACAGUCACCUCCGGCAUAUUGCAAAGAACCUCGUCCAUCAUCUGCUGGAAAGUUGCUGAAGCAUUGUUUAAACCAAACGGCAUCACCAAAAUCUCAUACAAACUAAAUGGUGUAUGAAAAGCAGUCUUUGGAAUAUUUUCUUCGGCCAUCGAUACUUGCCAGUACCCAGAAGCAAGAUUUAACUUGGUGAACCAACGACUUCGCCCCAAAUGAUCCAAGAGAUCAGCAGUGUGAGGAAGAGGGUACACAUCUGGGAUCGUCACUUCCUUUAACGGAUGAUAGUCGAUACAGAAACGAAUACUCGUAUUAGGCUUCAUCACAAGAUGAGAUUCACAUGCCCAAGGAUUCCACAACUUCUGAAUAACACCCUUCUCCAACAUCUCCUUGACGUUUGCACAUAAAAUCUUGAUUUCCUUGGGCGACCGACAACGAACAAAAACCUUGAUUGGAUGAGCAUCCCCGGUUGGAAUCGGAUGACGUGUGGCAAUCUUGGCCCCAGAUGAUAGGUCAAAGUCAAAGAGAUCAAAAUACUCCUUCAUGAGCCGGUCAACCAUUGCAACACAAAGAUCGUCGGAGGGAUCGAAAAAGGGAAGAGCAGAAUAAGAUGGAAAUAUAAGAAGAAAUAGUGGGGGAACAAAAGUAAUGGAAGCAGAAGUAGAAGUAAAGGGACGAAGAGGUACGGAAGUGAGAGGAAUGGAUGAAAUAUAAGGAAGUAUGAGAGAAGGGGGAGAAGCCUCAAAGUUAUAUUUGGCAUGAUUGCGUUGCAACCAAUCUAUACCAAGAAUGAGGUCAAAAGCUUGACUCAACACCACCCGCAACGACUGCAACUCAAGCUCGAGAUCGCCCACACGUACAACCAGGUCCGCCUUAUCCCAUGCACAUGCAUGUGUAUGGUUGUUGCCAUAAAAAAUGAAAAUUGGUUCCACCGCACGACGCAAGUGUAAAUGGUAACGUGUGGCAAUAGGUCGAGCAAUAGAAGAUAAACUCAAACCUGUAUCAACCAAUACGAAGAGAAUAAUAUGAAACCUCUUGUUAUAAAAACGAGCUUGGAACAUAAACACUAGAUGAACCGGUGCCAAGUGAACCCCUUGAUAAUACUCCCGAAAGAAAGAUAGAAGGGUCAUUGACUUAUUUGCGCAAGGUCCCUCCGUUACUUGCGCGACUCUUCAUUUCCCGGAUGCAUUUUGGUGUCCAAACCUUCCACGGCAGCAGCACCAAUGGGACGUUGCUGACGCCAAGGUCUCCAGCCAGGAAAUGGAGGUCGCCAAUCCAGAAAACGCCGACAAUGCCGAUAAGUAUGACCAACUUCAUCACACGCCCAGUAACGAACAUCACAGCUAUGACCACGUCCUCGCCCUUGUCCUUGGACUCAAGUAGCAGCAGCAUCAACCUCCAUUGGAACAGGACCAUCACCCAUAGGAAGUGGAGCUGAAGGACGUGUAGUGAGAAGUGGAAGAGGCGACGUCUCAUAACGUUGUGCCAAGUGAAGAGCAUCAUCAAGGGUGGCGGGAGCAAGUGCAUGCACAAGUCCGACAAGAUCUUGAUGAAGUGCUAGCCACAACAUUCCUAGCUUGAUCCGCUCCGACAUAUUUGGCUUCGCAUGAAAUAAAAGACUUUGGAAACGAAUGCCAAAUUGCAUCAUCGACUCAGAUGGCCCUUGGCGAAGACGAUGCAAUUGUUGGAAGGCAUCAUCACAGUCAUCGGUAUGUCCGAAGGUGCGUUUGAAAAUGUCCGGAAGGACACUCCAAUCCCCAUGAGUGGCUGCGCUCAACCCAUUGUACCACUGCGCCAUCCCUUGAAGACACGUGGGAAACUCACGCAAACGUUGAGCAUCAUCCCAAGAAUAAUAUGUGGCAAUCACUGUGAAGUGAUCGAACCAAUGGUACACAUCAUCCCCAGGAUUCCCGCGAAAAAACUUUGGCUGAACGCAAGGAUUAGCACCAAGAGUAGGAGGAGUUGUACCACGUGCCAUGCAUGCCGCCAUCAAUUGAGUUUGGUUGUUCAAUUGCAACUGCAUAGCAUCAAGCAAUUGUACCAAUUGCUGCUCCAGAGUCAAAGGAGGAGAUUGCUGAUCUGCCAUGAAGACAAACGAAGAAAGAGCAAAAGAAGAGAAAUGACAAAAAACUAGAAGGAAAUGGUAGAUCUAGACAAUGCAAAAAGCUAGAUUUAAACCAAAAUCCUGAAAAGAAAGAACAAAAGAAAGGAAAUGGAAAAAGUUAGAUCUAAACAAUGCAAAAAUUAGAUCUAAACCAAAAUCCUAAAUCCAAGCACUUCCUAAAGACAAUCAAAAGUGCCUCUCACCUCCACCAAUGUGAGUGUUUGGAAUAUGGAAAGGGAAUACAGAAAAUGUUCAUAUCAAUACAGAAGUGAGUGGUCUGGAUUGAAACUAAUCCGACAGUUACCAAAAUCCCACUACGCUAAUAUUAGUAUAUGGCAUCGUAGCCGUACACUUGGCCCUCACAAUAUAAAAAUAUAUAAUAUAUUUUUUAAAAAUAUAUCCACUCCUAUUGCCUAGAUUGGUAAUUUAUUUUAGCCACCUUAACAUAUCUACUAGGCAAAAAUACUCAAUCCCUAGUUCAAUUGCAAAAUUCUGGAAUGUGAAGGAGAAAGAAUUUAUAGUAAUCUACAAUCUCAGCUAUAGUGUGAUCAUGAUCAGUAAUCACUCAAUUAAAUCUACACUUCAAGGACCAUGGUUGGCAUGGAGCAUAGGUUAGACAUUUUUUCACCACAUGCUUUAUGUUGUAAACUUUUUCAUAGCAUGUGGAGCAAAAGCAAAUAUCAUGUGGUAGCAAAGGUUUCAAAUAGUAUCUAUGUUUUAUCAUCAAUCUUUAACAUCCUUUUUUGCCUUAGUUUAUAGGUGACUAAGAUUUUUCAAUUGGUAGGUGGUGAGGUCAUCAUAGAUUUUCAAAUUGAAUUAGCACUUGGGGACUGAUGGUGUUUGUGUAAAUUCCAAAAAGGACAAUAUUUUUCAUCUAGUCAUCACAUUGAUGUUAGAGGGAUUGUUAUUCUAAAACUUGAGUUGCUAUAUUAAUUGUGUUGUCAGUGUGAAAAAGUUGUGGCCUUGGUGGUUGUCUAUGAAUCUGAACAUUUCAUAUCAAAGUCUAAAUUAUAUUCAAAUAAAGCCAAGAAAAAAUGGUUAAAAUUACAUUGAAAUAUGUGUUUAAUAUCAAUAGUAUAAGAAAUUACAUUUCAUUUUACAAGAUAUUAAGAUAAUAAAUUUAUCAAAAUCUAGUUGUAAACAUUUUCCAUGAUUUAUUUUAAUGAAUAUGAACAUAAAAUCACUAAAAUUUCUCUUCUUUAACAAACUUCUUAAAUGAUCUGUUUAAUUAUUAAACUUAACGUCUUGCUAGUUCCAUUUAAAAGGUAAUAAAAUAAACACUAUCUCUAUUUAAACCAUUUUUAAAUAAAUAAUAAUAAAUGAAAUUUUUUUUUAGCUUUUCUUUGCUGGCUUAUGAAAUGUUAUAAUUCUAAAAAGAUUUUACAAAAUAAUUAGAUAUGGAGAAAUACGAAAAUUCUUCAGGUUUUUACAAAUAUUAAGUUUUUAAUAUAUAAUUUUAUUAAGAAAUAAUACAUAAUUAAUUAUGAAUUAUUUGAAGCUUUAAAACUAAGUGUAAUAUUAUAAAGUACAGGCAUGCUAUAAUUCAUCAAUAAUAUAAAAAUUAUCAUGGAAUUUAUAAGGGUUUAGUUUUGCUAAAAGAUUUGAGAAAUUAGUAUACUACUUCAAAUGAAUAAAAUAAUAUAUCAGAAAACAAAUAAUAAUAAUAAAAUAAAACAAAAUAUUUAGUAAAUUAAUAUUUUAAAUAACUAAGAAUUACUAGAAUUUAUUCAAUAUUUGACUUUAAUGUAUAAUGUUUUAUAAUCUCUUUUAAAAAUGAUUUUUUAAAUUUGAACUAAGUUUAAAAGCAUAUUAUAGUUGCAAUUUUGUCAAAUUUGAUUACAAAUAUUUUACUAUUGUAUAUAUUUAAAAUACAUAUAAUAACACAAUAAUAUCCAAGCAUCUAACCUAUAAUAAAAUUAAAUGACCUUUUCUUUUGUGAACAAAUACUCUUAUAAAAUAGUAUAAUAUUUUUAAAAUUUUUAUUAUUCUAAAUAUCUAUAUAAAUAUUUUCUCUUAAAUAAGUAUAUGACUUAUUUUUUUAAUAUAUAAUAAGAAAAAAUCCAUAUGAAUUAAAUCAUUUAAGGUUAUUUAAGUUUUUAUGUAUUCUAUAAUUCCAUUUGAAGAUUCACCUUUUCAGUCAGUGUAAUUUUUAAAGAAAACUGUAUAUAAGAAUAAAUAACUAAUCUAGAGAUCAAUUAUUUAAUCUUUAAAAGUUUUAAUAAUUUUGUUUUUAGCUAUAUAAAAAACUUUAACAUUAAACUAGCUAAAGAAUAAGAAAUUGAAUUUUUAUUUUGUAAGGCCUAAUGCCUGCCUUAAAUCAAUCUUCACACCUAUUGUACUUAUAAGUAAGCAAGGAGAAUGAUGUCAAAUCACUUUCCCCACUUAUUAUGCUUGUAAGCAAUUAAAAAAAAUGACUUGAAAUAUGAUCCAUAAGAGUUUAGAGCAAAAGAACUUAUAAGUAAAGUACACCCUUUUUCCUAUUGGUUAAAAGAGUUAGAAUACUUGGGGUUAAGAGUAUUUUGAUUUAAGUAGUAUUGAGUUGGUUGACUCCUUAAGAAGUCUAGAGUUUAAAUUUGAAUAAUAUUGACUCUAUUGGUUGGGAAUCAGAGGAGUAUUAACUCUGAUUCUAUUGAUUGGUUAUAGGGGUUAAUAUAUUUAGUUUCCUAUUUGACUCUAGUGAUGCCAAUAACUCUAUUGGUUGGUUAAAGACAUUUAGUUUACCAUUUGGCUUUAGUGAUGCCAAUAUAAGUUUUAACUUAGAACCAACUUUUAGGUUAUAAAUGUUCUAGAGGUGGUGGUAAAUAAUUGUUCACAACUGAUAAACUAUUUCAAAGUUUGAGCUCUAUACAUACCUUGAUAAUGUUUCAUGACCACCUUCAUCUGUUUUCAGGAUUGUUAGGACAAGAACAUCUCUAGAUGCAUUCAUAACUCUGGAUCGAACUAUUUAUACUAGCACCAAAGUGGCUCUUGAUAUAUUGGGUCACAUGAAUAUGUAGCUUUUGCAUUUUUUCCAACAUGAUGGAGUUUUAGAAGAAUAUACUAUGGCAAAUUUUUCACCAAUAAUACAAUCAUAUAGGAGAUAGAAAUUCUUUAAUGCCCUAAAGAACCACAUGUGUGUCAAGUGUGUUAAGUUCUUGCAAAACAUGGAUAUAGACAUGGUGAUAAAUAGCUCAUCUUUGCUAUCAAUUGACAGAGCUCCUUUUUGCAAGGAGGCAAUAAUGGAAAUUGCCUAUAGUGUCAUCAAGCCUAUAGUUCUUUAAUCUCUUAAUCAACCAAUAAUGUGGAUUUAUUUUAAUUAACUUAUAAGUUCUUUAUUAUAAACAUCAAUCAUAUGGAGUACAAAACCUGGUGCAAAAGGUAAUCAAUGUUUAGAAGAUUUGAUAAUAUAUAAUGAUUAUUAUUUAUGAUCAUACAGAUUAAUUUGGAUAAAUUAUUAGGUUUCUGUUUUAUUAUGUAUUCAAUGUAAUUGUUUAUGACUCAAAUCAUAAAUAAUUUUCUACCCAAUGCAUAUAGCAAUUUUGUUUGCUUAAUAGUAGUGUUUAUAAUUAUUAAUAAAAUUGAUCAUUUGGAAGUUUUUAAUUAUAUUCAUGUUUAUAAUUUAUGAGUACAUGAUUAAUCUUAUUAUAUAUCAACCAUUAAAAUAAACUAGAAUAUACUAUAAGUGUUUAGGACAGUUUAAAAAUUAUAAACACAAGAUUAAUCUAAAUGAAUAAAAACUGUUGGAUGAUAAAAUAUCCUAGAAUAUCCAGGCUCCUUUCUUAGAAUGGUGAAAUCUUGUGUUUUGCUUUCAAUAUUGUUAUUGUGCUCAAGAAUUAGGUAAGACUACAUCCCUGACUGCGUACCUCCGAAUUUGGCAUUGCCACAGUUAGUGUGCAGCAUUUGAUUCUAAUAGCUCAAGUAGGAAAUCUGCACAUAUGUGUGUGUGUGAGAGAGAGAAAGAGCGCCAUGCCCCAUACCAAUAUCAUAAUAACAUUUUGCAUAGGAUUAUAAUAUUAUGUGAAACAAAAAUGCAAAUAAAAAUUCUCACACCUAAAAUAUGCUCUGGUGGAAAUUCUGCACAAGAAUGUGUUGAUGGAAAGAACUAUUCCAUUAGAGUGGUUCCAUACUGCCCAUUUGAAGCAAUUGUGCAACAUUGUCCACUGCAGAAAAGUUAGAGCCCCUAGUGAGUUCCAGUAAAAAGAUCACACCUACCAAGUUUGAUUAUCAGCCAAAGCUUGAUUAUUAGUUGCCAAUGGCCUUGAUCAGUGGCGCCUACAUUAUGGAGAUUGAGCUGGGCACCUCACCCAAGAAAUUCAAGGUGAAUGGUGACACAGGUAGUGAUCUCAUGUGAUUGAGAACUGUGCUUGUAGUGCUAUAGUCAAAAUGAGCAAGUUCUUCCUUCUCCCAGAUAUCAUACUCCACAUCUAAUUACUAGCUAAGCACACCAAGAAUUUAUAUGUGGUGCUGAUAUGUAACAUGCUCAUGUAUGCUCAUGCCUUAGAUAAAAAACGUUCAGUCUUAGCGUCAUGCAAAUUUAAUCAUAAUUUGAUUCCAAUAGAUAUCUAGAUAAAGAAUAAAAUAUAAUAAAACAUACGACACAUCAUAUUAUCCUCAUCCUCUAAAGCUAAACACUAUAAGAUGAUUUAAAUGUCUGCAAAUACAAUGAUGUUGUUAAGCUUUUGAUCACCUUUGGAUCAGCUUCUUUUCUCUAGAUUUGAGGUCAGAUAUUCUCAAGCAUAAUAUUCACCAGUCUUUAUGCUCUUACCACGUUCAUUCCUUCAACAUCUAAACCAUGUAUGGAAAACUCCCAUACUUUUAAUGAACCAAUUCUUUCAAAAGGGGGGUCAGACUUAUUCACGUGACCAAAUGAAAGUGGUAAAAUUUUAGUACACGCCCCCCUUUUGCAUAAAUGCUUUUGGCCUUCGGCCGGCUCGCGCAAUCCAAGCCCUCCAUUCUUUGUGCUGACGGCGCAGAUGCUAGCAAACCGACACAAGCAGGAUCCUUGUGACCCACGUACGCCGUUGGAUAGGGACGUGAUCGGACGGCUAAUGAGACGGCUAAACAGAGCCCAAAUAUUUUUCUCUGUAGGUCACAUCGCAGGAUCUUCUCACUGCGAGGAAGAAUGUAGGUGCGAUUAUCGAUCGAUCGAUCGAUCGAGCGAGCGAUCACUUCGCACACGGCAAUCGGUGGCGGCGCAGCAGCUCUCUCGCUCCAGCGAUGGGUCGGACUCCUUGCUGCGACAAAGCAGCUGUGAAGAAGGGGCCGUGGUCUCCCGACGAGGAUGUCCGGCUGCGAGAUUACAUCCAGCGCCAUGGCACGGGAGGCAACUGGAUCACUCUGCCUGGCAAAGCCGGUGAGUUCUUGGAUUCUUGGAAGGGAGGGAUUCCACGCUCGGGCCGCGCGAUGGUCGCAAGAAAGCUCGAAAUUUCGGUGGAGUCCGAUGCAAUGCGUGCUAAUCGAGCUCGGGUUUCGUGGAUCGCAGGCUUGAACCGCUGUGGGAAGAGCUGCCGGCUGCGAUGGGUGAAUUACCUCCGGCCGGAUAUCAAGCGCGGGAGUUUCACUCCCGAGGAAGAGAAGCGCAUUUGCGAUCUCCAUGCCAGCAUUGGCAGCAGGUACUCCCAUCUCUUCUUGCUCGGGAUUUCAUGCUUCCAUUUGCCUGAAACGUCUCUUCUUGUUUGAUUUGAGAGGAUUUGGGAUUGAUUGAUCGAGAAUUCGAACUGAUCAAUCUUUUUCUUUCUUUCUCCUUUGUAGAUGGUCGGUGAUUGCCGCUGAGCUCCCCGGUAGAACGGACAACGACAUAAAGAAUCACUGGAACACAAAGCUCAAGAAGAAAAAUCUCUCGCCUUUUCCGACUUCCACGAAGGCAUCGCCCAUGGCGGAGAGCUUGCAGAGAGCCAUGGAGGCGGUGAAGAAACCGGAGGCAGCGAUCAACGCCAAGAGCGACGAUCCACCUCGCAAAACGCGAUCGGGAAGAGCAAAACCACAGCCUGCCAGUGCCAGCGACGUUCUAGAAGAUCAUCAAGAUCGACGAAGUUCUCACACUUCCAGUUCUUCCGCGAUCACUCCUGACACCAAAACCAACAAAGCGAGCAGCAGCAACAGCAGUACCAGCAGCGGCAUCACCACCGCUUUCCACGAGGAUUGGGCCGCCGAGAACUUCCAUCUCCUUCUUCCCAAGAUGGAGCUAGAAGAAGACUGUUCCAAGCACCAAGAACACGAGUUUGAGCGACGAGACCACCUCCAUCGCCAACUCAAUCGCCGUGCUAGCACUGUCCGAGAGAUCAUCGACGCUGGCCACCUCGAUGCUCUGGCGAGGAAUCUCGCAGCGGUGGACGAGUCCUUCUUCGAUCCAAAUUGGUGGUCUUCCCUCGUGAUCUCUCCCAAACUUCCAGGAGAGAGAGCUCUCGAUUCGAUCUUCGCUAGCAGCGGACACUGUUGUUAGCUUUUGGAAGGAACCUCGCGUUCCAUUUUUUUCCUCUCAAUCUUAACAAAUAUCCACUUCUUUCUAUCAUGAUCUUGAUCAUAGCUCUUAUCCAUCAUCGUUGUAUUUACAUUUGAGAAAACCAUGAGAGUUCUGAGAGAGCCAAUUCUCCCAUGAACAUCCACAACUCUACCACCUUUUAGAUCGAGAAUCUAUCGACGAUGUCCCAAAGGACGCUCCUCAUCUUGUCCAGCGACAGCGGCCUGUAGAGCACCGCCACAAAUCCCAGCUUGAGAAGAUGCUCUCUCGCGCUCGCGUCCGCGUCGGUGGUAAGCGCCACCAGCAGUGGCCUCUCGUUGAUCGGGACCUCCUGGAGCUCCGCCAGGAGAUCCAAGCUCUCCUGCUGCUGCCAAGGCGGGCUCGAUGACAAGUCGAGCACUGCUACUCUGAACCGCGGCCCCGGAGGAUGGCGGACGAGUUGCAAGCACUGCUGGAUGGACAUGGCCUCGGUAACGUCGCAGCCCAGUCGGAGCAUCACUCCUCUGGUCAUGACGUUGCCGCCAGUUUCACUCACCAGGAGGAGUUUGAGUCCGCUCAAGCUCAUCGAUCCUUGCAGUUUGUGCUGCUGCUGCUGCUGCUGUAGUUGUAGUUGCUGUUGCUGAUCGGGUUUGUCUGACUUUCCGAGUUUCACGAGGAUUGUCACGGUCGAUCCCUUGCCGAGGCCCUCGCUCUCGAUCCAGAUGUGGCCCCCCAUCAAGCUUACAAACCUGGAAAGAGCGUGAUGAGAAGCUUUUUCUUUAUUCUAAAGAAGCUAGCAGCUUUUACCUUUUGCAUAGUGCUAAGCCCAGGCCUGGACCGCUCCGCUUGUUGACUUGGACAAACUUUGUGAAGAGCUUGGGGAUGUCUUGGGAGCGUAGGCCAAUGCCAGUGUCCUUUACCUGCCGUUGCAAAGAUGCCGCGGUUAAGAAAAAAGUUUUGUGUGGGUGGAGAGCUUACUUGUAUUCUAAUGUAAAAGUGAGAAUCGCCCUGUGUUGGAAGGAACUCUGGUGCUCUAGGAUCUCGCGAGUACUCCGGCCUCUCCAUGCAAGCGGACACAGUGAUACUUCCAUCCUUCGUGAACUUGACGGCAUUUCCUAUGAUGAAUAGAACGAUCUGCAAGAGACGCUUCUCGUCUCCAACAGCAAAUUCCGGAAGGUCGGCAGCCAAAUUCAUGGUGAUGUAAAGCUUCUUCACAGCAGCUAUUGGCUUCACAAGGUUGUAGACCUGGACAACAACACAAUUAAAAAUUGAAACAACAAAAAGAGAGAGACCGGAGACAAACCUCUCGGAAGAGAAACAGAAGGUUGAAUGGAGCAAUCUCGAGUUGGAAGCUGCCAUCUUCGAGCUUGGAGAGGUCCAAAACAUCGUCUAUAAGCUUGGCCAAAAGCCUGCUAUUGCGUAGGAUGGUCUCCACCAUCGACCGUUGCUCCGCAUUGAGCUGGCUGUCCUGGAGGAGCGACGAGAGAGUUAUGAUCGUAUGCAUGGGAACACGCAUCUCGUGAUUCAUGACAGCCAGGAAAUCGUUGCAAGCGGACACGGCAGUCUCUGCCUCCUGUCGAGCAGCGUCCAGCGCUAUGUUUUGCUCCACUAGCAAGUCUCGGGACCGUAUGGAUUCCUCCAAUAUUGCCGCGUGGGAGAGAGCGACGGCAACCUGCAAAGCAAAUCACCAACUUAGAGGAAAAAGUAAAGAAAAAGGAAUCAAAUAAGAGACCACUUGCCUGGUCGGCGACGACUUCCACAAGCUCAAGCUCGUGAAUGCGCCACCUUCGCGCGCUAUCUGACGGCAAUAUCAAAACCAGCAGCGCAUACGGACCUUUGGCCGGCUCGGGCCAGUCGACGAUUGGAAAGUUCACCAUGCGCAAGAGCGGCACGCGCACAGCAACAGCAUCUCCAGAAAUGUAUUUCCCAGCGUGUGUUCUUGUCAUGGCCACAGGGCUGCUGGACGGAAUGACCACCGCGCGAUUGCUGCUGAAAACCUGUCGCAGCGUUGGGUGGUGUAUCGGCACGAUCCCAACGUUGGCCUUGCUCAGCUGGCGAAGCGAGUGUGUGAGCUGAAGCUCGAGACCGUUUCUAGUCGGCAUCCACAGCGUGCAUUCUUCCAGAGCCAAAGCCUUCCCGAGCUCGACCAGCGUGGAGUUGAGAAUGGUGUGCCUGUCUAGCGUGCUCCGGAUCUCCUGCGUGAGCAUUCUUACGUGCCGGCCAGCCUCUUCCUGCGUCCGGAUGAUCCCCAUCUCCCUGUCCAGCUCGUCCGCCUUGUUCUUGAGGAAGAGCUCGCGGGUCUUGACGCUGAGCAAGUCGGGGAUGAUAUGGACGAGCAUGAGCGCUGUGGCGCACGAAACCACCGCUGUGAGAAUUUUCGCGACUGUCAUCACGGUCGCCAUUGUUCUCGAGUGAGAGCCCAGCGUCCAGAGGCUGAUGAAAUGCGUAGCUCCACACAGGACGAUGAAGGCACCAAACUGUACGAGCACCCAGCGGUAUGGAAACAAGGCGGAUUUCUUGACGAAGUAGAUGAGCUCGAUCGGAAUGGAGAAGUAGGCGAGCGCAAUGAAGAAAUCCGCGAUGUACUGGUACCGGAUGUGGAUGUCAUCGGACGACCACUGCGGCUCGAUGAUGCAGUUGCAAUCCAUCUUGCUCCUCCUCUUCCUCCUGCGCUACCUCCUAGGCCCUUGCCCCUAAUCCCUGGCUGUGAUUCUCACUCCUGGCCGAUCCAGACGCCAUUGGAAUGGAGAAUUUCGGAAUGACGAGGUGGAGAUUACCGCAGAAUCUCACUCUCCCGAUUUCGAGCUGACAGGAGCUCCUAGCGGCGCGGCCGUGCUUACCUCGCGCUCGAGAUUCCAGCGCCUCGAUCGUGGCCAAAACCCUAGACGAAGAGACAGAGAGAGCUCCUCCACUAGCUGCAUUCCGUGGAGCAUAUUGCUAGUAAAAGUCGAAAGCAUUCACGGAAAGAGAAAAACUUCACGGACCAGGCAUAUAGAUGAUCCCGGACCGUUGAUCCUGUAAAAUCGCAUUCCCAGCCGUCGGAUCAAAAUCACAGUUUUACCCACUUUCCCGCGGGUCUCGAGCCGGCGACUUUCUCUCGAGGUAUAUUCUUUUUCCCCUUGAGGUAUAUGCUUUUUCUCUUGCUGAGGAUUAGGGUUGAAGUGCUGCUCGAUCGAUCGAUAGGCGCUGGCGCAGAUCCGGCGCUGCGCAAUGCCGGUGUAGGAGGCGGCGAGAGGUUUGUGUGCCGGACGGGAAUUUCGCGUCGCUGUGCAAUGCGAAAUGGCGGAUCCAGCAGCUUUCGAUUUCUUCUUCCAGCAGGCCGAUGUGGAUCGGGAUGGGAAGGUGAGUGGCGCCGAGGCAAUCCACUUCUUCAAGGGAUCGAAUUUGCCUCAGCCUGUUCUUGCCAAGGUAAUGUAAAUAGCGAUGUAUUUUCCUUGUUUUUAUUCUUUCUUUUGCUCUUUGUAGAUUUGGCAUGCUGCGGACAAUGGCCAUACCGGGUUUCUCUCGCGACCAGAGUUUUAUAACGCCUUGAAGCUCGUCACGGUUGCUCAGUCUGGACGAGAGCUGACGCCGGAGAUCAUGAGAGCGGCGCUCGUCGGGCCGGCGUCGCUCAAGAUUCCAUCUCCAAAAAUUCAGCUCCCCGCGGGCCAGCAGUCGCAAAUCCCAGUUCCUGGACAACAGGCACCACCACCUCUUCCAGUUUCAACGACGCAAGUUACUGUUCAACCUGGUAGGACUUCGUUUAGCAGUGGACCGCCACCUCCACCACUUCAAGGCUCUCUACAACAAAAUGCAUCGUUUAGCGUCGCACAGCCAGCUCCCGGUGCUUUACCAAGACCAUCGUUUACCGGCGGCGGCGCGUCACAGCCACCAUCGUAUACCGGUGCUACCACGCUACAACCACAGCAGGGACCAUCUUUUCCCGGUGCUACCACGCCACAACCACAGCAAACACCAUCGUUUGCCAGUGCUACCGCGUCACAGCCAUCAUCAUCGUUUGCAAGCGCUCCUUUACCACAACCACAGCAAACACCGUCGUUUCCUACGCAACUGCAGCAAGCACCAUCGUUUGCUACCAAUGCAAACACGCCACAGCUUCAGCAAACACCAUCGUUUGCCACUGCUCCUACACCACAGCCUCAGCAAACUCCUCGGGCACCGGUGUAUCAACAGCAACCUCCAGUACAAAGCGUUCCAAGACCAGGUUCUUCCGGUGGACUUGGAGCAGAAUCUUGGCGGCCAAGCAGUGUGCAAGGUCAGCUCUUUUCAUCGGCAACCCCAGUGAGACCAACAACUUCAGCUAUACCCAAUCAAAGUUUUUCUGUCAACAAUGGCCCGAGCACCAACUUUGCUUCCCAGCAAGGUCCUGGUGCUCCUCCGGGGUUGCGGGCUGGAGCUGGAGCUCCCGAUGGAGCUAAAGCCUCUGGAGGAUUUAGUCCCUUUGGCAACGACGCGUUUUCCGUGAGCUCUACUACAGCAAGACCGGCGAUUGAUCAGAACUUUGUUGCUUCAUCUCCGUUGACACCGAGACAGCCGUCUCCUGGAAUGUCCCCGCAAGCGCCGCCUCCUAAAGUCAUGCACGGUUUCAGACCGCCAAUGGGGUCUGCAUGGCCUAAGAUGACAGCAAACGAUGUACAGCGCUACUCUCGAGUUUUUACGGACGUUGACACAGAUAAAGACGGGAAGAUCACAGGCAUACAAGCACGGGAUCUCUUCUUGAGCUGGAGACUUCCUAGAGGUAUUUUAUUUUGUCAGACGUGCAUUGGCUCUUAACUUUCUCUCCAGACGUCUUGAAGCAGGUUUGGGACCUAUCGGAUCAAGAUGGCGAUAGCAUGCUUUCUUUUCGGGAAUUCUCUACGGCUUUAUAUCUGAUGGAACGGCUCCGAGAAGGCCGCCCUUUACCUCCUGUUCUUCCAGCGGGCUUUCAUUUUGACGAUGGCACUCCUCAGUCUCAUCUUGCUGCUGCACAAGGCUAUAAUCAACCUUCUUGGCAGCGCAAUGCAAGUACGUUCAUUCUUUCCUUUUCGUACUGGAGUAUGAAUUAACACAAACGAACAGGACCAGGUAUGCCUCCAGGACUUGUUCCGCAAGAACAAUUCGGCAUGCCAGGUGCAUUUCAAGGACAACAGACAGGAAGACAUGCUAGAGCCAGACCCAGGGGUGCGGAGUUUAAUGGCAGUGACAAGGUAAAUUAAUCAAUAAAGACGUGGGGGCAACCUGACUUUCUGUUAUUUGCAGCCAAAUCAAAGUGAGGGGAAAGUUUUGGAUUCAAAAGAAAAGCUUGAAUAUUAUCGUAACAAGCUACAGGAAAUCGUAAGGACGUCGUCGAGUUUUCUUUUUUUUUUUCUCCUGUGGUAACAUUCUGUAUGCAGGUGUUAUUCAAAAGAAAAUGUGACAACCGUUUAUCGGAGAUCACUGACAGAGCGGCUGCCGAAAAACGCGAGGUGGGAGGUCCUAUUAGUUCUUUGUUUAUCUGGUUGGGAACGUCGAUUUUUGUGUGUAGGAGGAAAUCAUGGCGAAGAAGUAUGAAGAGAAGUAUAAGCAGGCACUGGAAGUGAAUUCACGUUUGGUGUCUGAAGAAGCAGCCUUUCGCGAAACACAGGUCUGCUUGUGCCUAAGAUAUGCAUACUAAAAAAUGGUCUCUUCAGACUCUCAAAUCUGAGCUUCGGAGUGCGAUUGCUGAAAUUGAACGCGGGGGAAAUCCAAAUGCGCUGCUCCAGGUUACGCACAGAAUUAUUUAUGCCUGCUCUGAUUUUUUUUUCCCUCUCCAACAGACUCGUGCAGAUCGUAUUGCAAAUGACCUUGAUGAACUUGAGAAGGCGUUGGUCCAGCGUGGUAACCUUCUUGGGCUUCAAGUUAGCGGGACAGCCAAAGUUGAGCUUCCAUUUGGUAAGUGAAACAAUCAGGACAUUUAUAGCUUAUGCUGACGCGUGGAUUGACAGGAUGGCAGCCAGGGCUUCAAGAAAAUGCCGUUGAAUGGGAUGAGGACUGGGAUAAGUUUGAUGACGAAGGUUGGCAAUUGUUUAUUUCCCAUUCGCAUAUUUACUUAUAAUUCAUGCAGGAUACAACACGAUUCAAGGGAUUAUGGACGAGCAACCUGUAUCUGGAACAGCCUCACAUCCUGGCUGGGACGAGAAUAGCAUGUUUGCUGAUGGCUUUGACUUUGCAUCCGAGCCCAUUCACGCGGAGGAAAACUUUGAUAAAGGGCCUGCUGACUCGCCGCACGCAGAAAGCGAAACGAGCUCCAUCAAAAGUGGUGUUGAUAGCCCACAGUGGUCUCCAAAAGGUUAUCCGUCCAAGAGAAGCAUUCCUGGAAGUUCUCCUUUGUCAGCCAAAGCAGAUCACAGGCAAGGACGUAAAUUUCUGACUUUUUGUUUUUCUUCUAAUAUACGUCUUGUAGCUUUGAGUCGCACGAAGACGAGCCGCCCUUCCAUUCUUCAAGGUUUGCUCUUCGAUUUCAUGGUAAUGAACUUUUGUUUCGACUCGUUCUCUUUUGCAGCUUUGAUCAAGAUCCAUCUUUUGACUCAACGGAUCACUACGAAGAAACUCCUUGGACUAGCGCGUUCGGCAACCCAAACGAGGAUGUGUGGGGUCUAGGGACCGACUCUCCAUCUUCCUCUUUCCAGGUACUCUAUAACUUGUUAUUCUGAUUUGGUGUCAUCAUAACACAGGCGUCUUUCCUUCAGCCUUUAGCGGUUAAAACCCGAUCAGAAAGAGACUCUUUGGACUUGGGAUCGAUAAACAUAAGCUCUCCUGCUCACAGCGAAGCCAAGAACGAAGGCGACUUCUUUGGCAAAAAGGAGUGGAACGAUUGGCCUGGUGACACCAACAGCACUUCAGUGCCAAGCACUCCGUUGUUUAAGAGUGAGUCGCCAAAACAUGAAGGCUCGUAUUUCGGUCAACCGAGCCGGCUUGAGUUAUGAUAUGAUGCAACGCUUGUAGAUUGAGGUACCUUUUGUUGUAAUUGGUUUCUCCCACUCACUUUUGCAGUGGUUAUUUCUAUACACAUUUUUUCGAUUGCGAUUAUAAGAGCAAGAAAUGUGGAUCUUAAGGGUACUGACUUAUUCAUUGCCUUUCCAGUGAAGCAUAGAAACUUAAAGAUUGGAGGUGUGCUAGAACCAAACAAUCUCAGGUAGCAUAUCUCUUCCCCUCUCUUUGUGAGGUUCUUAGUAUCAUUUGUUCUUACAAGUGACGGGAAGUAUUUGGCAUUCAAGGUAGUUAUGGACACCCUUUGGACAAAGAUCAUUCAAGUUUAAAGCACUCCUCAAAGCUCUUGUGGCGCAGUCCCAAAACAUUCGACAUGCGAUCACAGAAGUGUGUAGUUACAUUGUAGCAGGUUCUUUAGAAUAUUUUUUUUUUUUCCGUUUUUGUUUUUCUCUUCUUUUGUACACGUAAUUUACAGCGACGGGGGUUCAAUACCCUUCCUAAGAACUUUCACUUUAAACCGAGGUGUCGUAACUACCGCCUCUUCACGUCUCGCGCGCUUCGUCUCCUUCGGUUUUCCAGCUUCUCAUGUGUCUGAUCUAAAGGUAUGCGCCUUGUUCUUUCUGUGUUUGCCACAAAAUUUUGUUUUCCUCUACCGCAGGAAAACCGCUUAUCAUGACGCGGGGGCUACUUUUCUUGCUGGUGCUGCUCUUCAUGAGUAGCAUCGUCAGCUGUAAGUUGUAGUUGCUGCAAAUGAGUGCCCGAGAUUAUAUCUUUUUCUUCAUAAUGCAGGUGACUUGGAGUGCGAGGAUUUGCCGGCGGAGGAUUGUGCAUUUGCGGUCUCGUCGUCGGGAGCCAGAUGCAUGCUUCAAAACGCAACCAACGAACUGAAAUGCGAAGUAUAAGUCUUUCGUAGCUGCUUGCUUUGAGCUCAUCACAGCUGGAUUUUUGUUGCAGACGUCCAUGGUCAUGUCGGACAAAAGAGUGGAAUGGAUUGAGAGUAGCGAGUGUAUGCAGUCGUGUGGGGUCGACAGAAUGACGGUUGGAAUGUUCCCAGACGCGUUGCUAGACAAGUCUUUUCUUCCCAAGCUCUGCAGCCCGAGCUGUCAGAUCAGCUGCCACAACGUUUUCGAUCUUUACGUUAGUCUCGCCGUUGGCGAAGGUAACACUUUUCACUUGAGAGAAAAAGGCUUGAAGUUUUAUCUCUUUCCUUACCAGGUUUCUACUUACCGAGUCUCUGCCAAACACAACCUGUGAGGGUGCACAGAAAGAUGAAGGUCGACUCGACUCCUCUUAUCAAGCCUCCGGACGAGAGUCUUCCAGCUCCAGCUCCAGCGCCCGAAUUAUCAGCAGCUCAAGGAAGUGUCCCCGCGGGCUCGCCGUCGCCAACGUCAACUCCAUCUAUUCAAGCACCAGCAAUUCAAGUACCAGUUCCAGCACCAGCACCAGCAAUUCAAGCACCGGUUCCAGCACCAGAACAGGCAGAAGCAGUGCAAGCACCAGUUCCAGCGCCGCAGCAAGUCCAAGCACCGGCUCCAGCACCAGAGCAGCCACCGGCACCAGCACCAGCUCUUCCAGUUUCAAUCGCGGCUCCGGCACCAGAGCUAACUCUAGCUCCAGCCCCGGUUUUACCGGCGGAGGAGCCUGUUCCAUUCUCGCCAACUUUGACACCAGCCGAGGAGCCUUUCCAGCCUUUCCCAUCUCCGCCAACUUUCGGACCGGCAGAGGAGCCGUAUCCAUCGCCAGUGGUGGCAGCACCAGCGGAAGAGCCAGCUCUAGCGGAGGAGCCAGCUCCGGCUGAAGAGCCAGUCCAAGCUCCGGCCGAGCAACCAGCCGAAGCUCUUGCUCCAUCUCUAGAAGACGGCGGCUGGUCUGAAGAAGUCGAAACUCCAGCGCCGGCUCCAGUGGCUGCCUUGGCCGAGGCGGAGGCUCCUUCGGCUGCUACACCGAUUUACGAGUCACACUUUGAGCUCGAAGCCCCGCCUCCAAGCACGUACUACGACGAGGAGCCAGCAGCAGCACCAUCGGAGGAAUCUAGCGUCGCGGAGGCUCCAAGUUCUUCGAGUUCUUACGAGGAAGCUGUCCCGCCAACUUUGUUUGAUGGUGGUGCCGAGGGACCAGUGGAAGCACCGCAUGCUUUGGAAGGACCGGCUCCCUCCCAGGAAGAAGAAGCUCCGCCGCCAGGUUUCUAUGGCGAGGAAGAAGCUCCGGCCCCGGAUUUGCUCGCGAGCGGAGAAGGCGGCGAAGCUCCAUCUCCAUACAGCGAAGAAGAAGCUCCAUCUCCAUGAGCAACCGGAAGGAGGAGCUGAAGCUCCAUCGCCAGAGUCUGAGCAGCAACAAGGAGGAGGAGCUCCAUCUCCAGCGAUUGAGAAAGCUCCAUCUCCGGCAUUUGAGCAGCAACAAGGAGGAACUCCAUCUCCAUCUCCAUCUCCAGCGUUUGAGAGGAGGAGCUCCACCACUACCUUUUUAAAUUUCUCUUAGUUUUGUUACAAGAGGUCAUAACAUAAUAUUAGGUCACUCGCGAUGCGUGAUGGAAAGAGAUUUCUCUUGCUGGAAUCGUCAAGCGCCAUUCGCGAAUGCGGCUGCUAUGAUCCAAGAUCCAAGCGAUCGAUCAUCGGGCAAUCUUCCCUCUCAUGGAGCGGCAUCCAAUCCAUUUCUUCGCGGAGCUCUUGGCAGCGUAAUGCGUGUCCUCCCAUUUUUUGCUCUAUACACAUUCGUUGUGGUCGCGAUUAUAGGUGGCAGUCGAGAGAGCGAGGAGCUAAAACAAGCCUGGAUUCGUAGAGAGUCAAGGUUUACGUGACUGAAUUUCUCAGCGAAUUUUUUCUUUUUUUCUUGUUUCCAGUGAAGCACGGAAGCGUACUGCUCGUACUGGCCGGAGUGGAAACCAAGAACAACAAUGAUGGUGCACGGCAUGGAGUCUGUGCGCGAUAGCUCUCUGGAACAAACUUUACGAAAGCUAUGGCCCCGGUCGCUUUCUCUUGCACACUGAUGGAUGGGCGUGGACGAUUCGCACGGCACGCUCACGCUUCUGGCUCUUUCAGUGACAAGGUGGGAUUUCUCUCUCCUUUGUCAGCGUUUUUGUUUCUAGGUGGAAUCGAGCUUUUCCUCAUCGUGUUUGCUCUCCAGGCGAUGAACUACGACCAAGUGAAGCUCCGAGAUGGGAGGUGUCUGGCCUACAAAGAAUUCGGGGUCGACAGGAACUCGGCGAGAUUCAAGGUGGUGGUCAUUCAUGGGCUUGGCAGUUCUCGCGACGCUCUUUUCCCGUGCUCACAGGUACGUAGUAGAGAGAAUCCUUCCCUUUCGCAAGUUUGGCUAGCCUACUCGAUCGCAGGAGCUUGCGGACGAGCUGGGACUUUACAUGGUCGGAUUCGAUCGAGCUGGCUAUGGACACAGCGACCCUUUUCCGCAAAGAUCUGUGAAGUCCGAAGCGCUCGACAUCCAGGAUUUGGCAGACCAGCUUCAACUCGGUGCGAAGUUCCACAUCAUAGCAAUCUCGAUUGGUGGCUACUCGGCAUGGUCGUGUCUCAAAUACAUUCCACACAGGUACAUCAUCUCUUCUUUUCAAGCUCUCUCUCCUUCGCACUCAAUCCUUUCUUUCUCUCCCAGGAUUGCUGGAGCGGCACUUGUUGCUCCAGCCAUCAACUACUGGUGGCCGUGCUUGCCACCAUCUCUUUCUCACCAGGCUUUCAGCGCUCGAUCGUUUCUAGACAAGUGUGGCCUUCGACUGGCUCACUACUUCCCCGGCCUCUACACCUGGUGGAGCAGCCAGAGAUGGCUAGAACCCGGCAUUUCCAGGCUCGACAAGGUGGACCAGACCAUCCUGGCCAGUCCCAGCAUCCUCAAGGCAAGAAAAAAAACUCUUUUUUUCUCCUUCGCUUGAUCGUUCUCUCGAUUUCUCAGCACCGAAGCCAAGCCCAACGCCAGGGAGCCCAGGAAUCCACCGCGAGAGACAUCCUCGUCCAGUUUGCGAGCUGGGAAUUCGAUCCAAGCCAGGUGGAGCAGCCGGGAGAGGGAAUUCGCGUGGAUAUCUGGCAGGGCGAUCGAGAUUACUUGGUUCCGGCGCUCCUCCAGCGUUGCAUCCACGAAAGAUUGCCCUGGACCGGCUAUCACGAGCUCCCAGAAAUGGGCCACUUGUUCUUCCUCCUCCCGGGGCGUGGCGAGGAGAUUAUCCGCACGCUGCUAAUCUAACCACGCGUAUUAUUCUAAUCUGAUCUCGUUUAGUCUAAACUUGUAUUAAGACAAGAUUAGUUUUUAAAGUAAUAUUGAUUAGUUUAAAAUUACAUAAUAUUGUUUACUCUAAAAUUGGUUACGAUAGUGACAAGUGGCGAGAAUCCUACCGUGAAAAUAAAACUGCCACGUGGAGUGUGGCCUGCCGCGCGAUUUGAAUUAUAUGUGGUUUAGGUUAGAAAGAACACGAAGAACACCUGAGCGGGGCCAUGGCGUACGGGUAUGACCUCGCGCUCGCGCUCUUUCUCGCGAUGCGUGAUUCCAGGUAGCACACAGGGAAGAAAGAUUCGUCUACAUGGGAAGAUCGAGGCAGCGUUGCGGGGAUAGAUCCCUACCGGGCAGGAGCUGGGGCUGGAUUUCGCCGUGAGCGCUGGAAGAAUCCAAUGUGCGCGGCCAGAUUAUCGAUCAAGGGAGCGGCGGCAUCGUCGUGUUCUCCAGAUCAGGGAAAGCCGCUCCUACUGCCGCCUUCUUCCGGCUCGCAUCAUCGCCGGGAGAGAUUCAAGAUCCUCGCGGCCGCGGGAAUCAGCGCCUUCUUGCUGCUGUCGCUCACAUUCUCCCCUCUCUGGAGCCUCCACGCCAGGCAUCGCCCCAUCCUCUCGCGGACGAGCUCUUCCAUUUCCUCCUCCGCCGCGACGACGCAGCAGCCCCGGCGCUCGUACGAUGUGCUCCACUACACCGCACUGGAGGCCAGCGAUGGCGACGAGAGGGAUAGAAUCCGGCAGCUCCUGGACGAGCGAUCGUCGGCCAAGUACUACUGGCACCACGGGCGGGGCGGGCGUGGCAGGGUGGAGCUGGAGCACAGCGAUGGCUACGAGCGGCGCCGCCCCACUCCCAUCCGGAGGCUGCGAGAUCGUCGGUGGACGCCGGAUCUCUCCAAUCCCAGGUACGCUCCCUACACCGGAGAAUUCCGCCAGAUGCUCCAGAGCUGGGCUCGCCGCAAGCGCUACGAUCCAGAGAUCAUGGCCGAGCUCCUUCCAGCGAUCAAAGAGCCCAUCGACCGCCACUACAAGAACUUAUCCACCACCACCACCACCGAGGACGAACUAGUGAUCCAAGAGCAAGCCCACCAUCGCCACCACCACCAUCACACCAAGGAGGAUGACCGAGAAGGACACUUUGGCGACCAAAGAAGAUCAUCAUCGCCAUCGCCAUCACCAUACCCGACGUGUGCCGUGGUUGGAAACAGCGGCGUCCUCCUCAACCGGACUUACGGCGCGCUCAUCGACAGCUACCAGAUGGUGAUGCGCCUCAACAACGCAAAGGUGGCGGGCUUCGAGCGCUGGGUGGGAUCCAAGACCACCAUCUCCUUCGUCAACAGCAACAUCGUCCACUCGUGCGCUCGCCGCCACCGCUGCUCCUGCCCCUCCUACGGCGACGCCGUCCCCACCGUCUCCUACGUCUGCCAAGUUGCGCACUUCCUCGACUUGGCCUACUGCCGCGCGCAUCGCCGAGCUCCGCUGCUCGUCACCGAUCCCCGCUUCGACAGCCUCGCCACCCGGAUCGUCCGCUACUACUCGCUCCGCCACUUCUUCCACACCACCGGGAGAUCUUACGACGACUGGAACAAGCUCCACGACGGGACGCUCUUCCACUACUCGUCCGGGAUGCAAGCGGUGAUGCUGGCGCUGGGGAUCUGCGACGAGGUGGGCCUGUUUGGAUUCGGGAAGCUGUCCAAUUCCACUCACCACUAUCAUACCAACCAGAGGACCGAGCUCGCGCUUCACGACUACGAGGCCGAGUAUAUCUUAUACCGUGAUCUCGUCCAUCGCCCAGGUAUGGUUCCUUUUCUUAAUGAGUCUGGCCUGGCGGUUCCUCCUGUGAAGAUCUUCCUCUGAGAAACUCAAACACACUUUUUUUUCGUUCUUCUCCUGUUUCUUAGGAAGAAAAAGAGAGAUCUUUCAUCUUUUACCUGUACAUUUUGCUCUUACGAAGAAAAAGUUUCCAUUCUUUUUUUUUCUUGAGUUUUCGUAGCGUUUUGGAAGAUCGAUCGAAGCUCAGUAGUAGUCCGUCUGCCUUUGUGCUACUUCGCUCUGCAAAAUUCGUUAUUCGUUUGAUCGACUGGAAACAAAGUAUCGAUUUUUCUUUCACAAACCUCGAAUGCUCUCUUGAGAUGCUCCAGCUCCUUGUCCAGGUCGCUGAGGGCCAGGUUGUACGCUUGAAUCGGUGACGACUGGCUGGUGGUUUGCACCUAUGGAUCGAUCAAAGUUUCAUCCAUCAGUGCUUAGAAGAAAACAUGAUGGAAAAAAGAGAAGCUUUCACCUUGACAAUGAUCUUGUAUUGCAAUGGAUGUGGUAGCUUGUAUCCAGCAAACAAAACAUUGGGAUCGCGGUGUAGCUGCCUGAAAGCCAAAGAAAAAAAAAGAAGAAUCACUCCAGGAAGCUAAACAAAAGAGAGGAUUUGAUUUUCUAGCUUACAUGCGGACAACGUUUCCAACAGUGUGAUCUUCUCGCUGAAUGGUGAAAGCGCCGGCAUUCAUUACCUUCAUAUCCCUCUCAUACGCAACCCUACGCGCGAUCAAGAGAAAAAAGAAAAAUAAGAGAAAGGACUUUUGAGCAGCCACGGCACUGGAAAUCAUCGCGCGCGCGGGCGCCCGCAAUGCCGUAACAUCCACAACUUACUUCUUGGUGCCCUCGGGAACGACGAAGCGCUCAUAGCGAUCCGGCGCGUUCAUGGCGUCAAAAGAGAAGAAAGAAGAAAAACCCAACUUUAGGGUUUAUGGGUUCCCUCGCUUCGGGGGUUCGAAUCCUUUUCAUCGCGAUUUCCUCGCGCAAAAUGCAUGACACCACGAAAAUCUCCACCACCGAUUCCUUGCCGGCACCGAAAUCGUGAAACCCAAACAUCGAUCGAUCGAAAGAGCUGCCCAAGAACCCUAAAAUCACAGCACACGCGUUCUUGGAUCUCCCCUGUUUCUAUUCUUUCAAAAGUAGGUACCAGCACUGUAAGUACACUACAUUGCUUUGGAAAAUAAAGAGAGAAAAAAAAACCACAGUGAUUCUUUCCUUGCUCGUCCUUUACAUUGUGUUCUUUGGAUCGGUCGAUCGCUCCCUGUUUCGUUCUUGGCCCUCUCUCUCGAUCGAUCGAUCGAUCCAGAGGAGAAGAAGAAGAGUGUUGCUAGGAAUUGUGAUGAAUCAAAUCAAAACCACCAAAGCCCAGCCAUGGAUCAUGCUCGCGGGCGCGCGCGCGCGAGACAGAGAGAGGCUCAGUGCCGCGUUGGAACGAACGCGAGGUGCUGGAGAUGGUGGUGGUGGUGGUGGUGGUGUUGAUGCGGGUGGAUCGAUCCACCGCCAAAGAAAUCGUGCUGCUGGUGAUGGCGCUGGAGCUGCGAUGCUCGCGGAUCAAACAAUCCAAAUUUCCCGGCCGCCAGCGCCGCCGCCACCGCGGUGGGCGACGAUCCGGAGGAGCAAGACGAGAGCGGCGGCGAGGAGGCCGCCGCCGCCGCUACUCCCGCCGCCAGCGGCGAUCCAGCGCCGCCACCGCUAGCGGCGGCGGCAGCGGCCGCCAUGUAGCGCUGGACCUCCUUGGCUACCAUGUCCUUCAUCAUCCCCAAGAGCCCAUUGUUGCCACCAUUGCCAGGAGGAGGAGAAGGAGCUCCUCCAUCCAAUCCUCCAUCCAAUCGCCCUUGCCGGGGCUGGAAGAUCGGCGCGAGCGCUUGCGCCACCGCCGCCCGGAUCGCGGCGCUCAUCAAUUCCACCGCGUCCUCGGCCCGGACGUAGCCGCUGGGCACGAACGCCGGGGCGGCAUUCUGGAAGGAGGAAGGAGGAGGAGUGCUUGGCGGCGGCGGCGGAGGAGGAGCUGGAGCUCCAGGCUUGCUCGAUUCCAUGGUCGCCGCUGGGAUUUGCCCCGGGAGAGAAAGGCUGAGCGAUGUGAGUGGAUCCGCCGCGCCGCCGGUGUUGGAGCUGGAUUCCUCGCAUGGAUUGUAGCUGGCAAACGCGGACGCGCGGGGCAGGGGCUUGAAGAUCCCAUUGGCGGCAGCGGCGGCGGUGGUGGUGGUGGUGGCGGCGGUGGCGGUGGUGGUGGUGCUCGUGGUCGUGUUCUUGGGCGACAGCGCGUCCCCAAAAUUCAUCCUUUUCAAGCUCCGCGAAUCCACCUCCCAAUUGCUGCCAUCCUCGUCGUCGUUGGACAUGUCAUUGCUGCUGCGCUUGAAGCUCGAGAUCUCCUCCUCGUCGCUGUUCUUGACGAACUGGUGGAUCUGGUGGUGCUGGCGAUGAUUGGCGUUCUCGUGCUCCAUGCCGGCGGUGGCGGUGGCGGUAGCGUGGCUCUUCUCGCCACCGCUACCACCGCCACUGGCACAGCAGCGCCGCCGGAGAGUGGAGUUCCAGUGGUUCUUGAUCGCGUUGUCUGUUCUUCCGGGCAAGAGGCGCGCGAUGGUCGCCCACUUGUUCCCGUGCUGCGAAUGCGCCUUGAUGAUGGUGGCGUCCUCGGCGGCGGUGAAGGGGCGGUGCUCCACCUGGGGGCUCAGCUGGUUGCACCACCGCAGCCGGCACGAUUUGCCCGAUCGCCCAGCAAUCCCCUUGCUGAUGAGCGACCAAUUCCUCGCGCCAUACUUGUCCACCAGCUUCUGGAGCGCCGCGUCCUCCUCGGGGCUCCACGGCCCCUUGAUCCUGUCCAGCUCCUCCGCCGAUGCUCCGCCACUCCCACCACCGCUCUUGCCAAGCGCCAUCGUGCACAUCGCUCGCAUCUACGCAAAUCUCCCCCGAAAUACCGCUCGAUUCAGCCGAUGCGCGCCAAGAAUCCCAGGAUUCUUGCCCAGAACAAUGGCGCCAUUGAUCGAAUCGAUCCGAUCGAGCUGGAAUCGUCGCUUGGAUCGAGAGAGGAGAAGAGAGAAGAGGAGCGCUGCCCAAAAACCCUAAACUCAAGAACAAAAAGAGUGAAGCUCAAGGCACACACACACACCCUCUCUCUCUCGCCCCUACAUAUGGCCACAACGGCCAAUGGCCAUGGCCAUAAUAACCAUAACGCAAACUCUAACCACCACUCCACAUCAUGCCAUACAUGCCAUGGUCCCCCAUGGCAUCAGCAACCAUGACGUCAGGCGCCCUCCAUUUGCAUACGCAUACACAGUACUGCUGACUGGGCGCACGCGGCCGUACGCAGCCGCCAGAGCCCUACGUGUUGACGUGUCGCGCAGAGGCUGGAGAGGAAUCGCCCGCUUGUGGCCCAUGGCCACUCCCCUGUACGGCUCGGCCCACCAAACGGAUAAGACCGGCCAGGGGUUAACGUCGGAAAACAGGCCCCAAUUUUCCCGGCCGGCGAACUUGUCGCUUGGCCGCCAGCCGAGCCGGCUGCAGCCAAUGCAGCCUGGAUCGGCCGGUCGGCCGGUCGGGGGUGCCGGCAAAAUUUCCCGGCCGCCGGGAACUUGAUUUUUACUACUAACCUUCUAUUUCUCUUUUCUCCCUUUUUUGUAACAACGGAACAAUACAAAUAACCGCUGUGCCACCCAGAGAUGGGCUUCUUCUUGCUUUUGUUUGCCAAUCAUGAGCCUAGCUUCCGGAGACAUCCUCCCACGCCAUCAACAUGUUGGAGAUGGGUGACAAGGGAACCAAAUGUAGGGCCGCCUCCUUUUCCUUUCGCGCUGGGGCCUCCCCUUUCCUCUUUCCUCCUGUGAGUGACAAAAACCACCACCACCACCACCACCACCAGACCUAGUGCCAAAACAAAGCCUCGCAAAAAACAAUGCCCAAGAUACCCCUGGCAAAGCAAGACCCCACGGCCAAUCCCAAUUUGCCCAGUUAGGGCAAAAGUAUAUUUGUUUAUGGUUUCUCGGUUAAAGCCACUCCAGCCAUGUUUGACAGAGACAUGGAUGCAUCGAAUGGGAAGAAAACCCUAUUCUCUUUCACAACACACACUCCAUCACCUCAUUAUCAUAAGGAAUCCUUCAACUCCACACUCUUCUCCAGAAGUAGUAUUCAGUGAAAGAGCAUCAAAAAGUUACCACCACCGGGAUCGUGGCAUCUGUCUGUACUGUGGCUGUACACAUACAUGAUAGACCAGUAGUGUAUAAACGAAUCAAUCUUAUAUUUAUACCACUCGCGCCUUAAGAUAUGUGCCUACGUACCCCAGCUUUUGCCCAACCAAGCCAAAAGAUUCCUGCCCCUCAUUCAUUUCGAUCAUUUUCAAGGGCUUUUCUUUUUCGCUCUCGCAUCGCUUAGAGGGACCUGACCGGACCCGGUCAAAAUAUCAAUCUAGAAGGCAAAAAAACUGUAUCGCCUUUAGCUGCUCUGCUCCCUAGGAAUGAUGCAAUCCAUCUUUAAUCGCCCAGAAUCUUUUUUUAAUUCCCUAAAGCUUUCCUCCACUUCGAAAGCCAAACCAUGUUCCAAUGUACAAACUAUACAAAAUCGUGAGAUUAAUUUCGUGACCCCGGCUUUAGUUUACGUGCAAGUUGCGCUACAAGCCAGCAAUCAUAUCGCCGCUCUUUACUGGGAUCCAGUAAGACAGGCUCGUGAUUAGCGAGCGAGCGAGCGAGCGAGGGGAUCAAAGGGAAUCUUUUUUCUUUGUUUCACCGGUCAGUUCUUCGCUAGUGGUGUUAGGUCAAUCAAGUGGUAAGACACCAAGCUGGCUCUAGCUUGCAAUGCAAGCGAGGAAACAAAACAAAAUGCCCCCUGCGACCUUGGGAUCCAAACUCAAGCCAUACAAAGCAUAUAAAAUAAGGUGGUAACACGUGCAAUGGCGAUCGGGCAUUUGCAUGGCGCCCUAAUUUGCAAACUCCAACAAGAGAAGAGAAAAAUUUUGCCCGGUGCUCGCGCUGUGUCCGGCAGAAUCAGACACAACCCACAAAUGGUUAAAACUUAAAAGCAGCCCUAAAAAGCAACAGAUUUAACGGCAAGCCGGUUAGCGAUUUAACGUGCUAAAACGGUUUUUAAAACCGGGCGCCGGUUUUAACGGGCACAACUGGGGCCGGUCCAGCUAGAAAUGCGGCCGCCCACGUGUCUAAAUUGCCAGCCUGUGCGGCAGUUCACGUGAAUAAAAAGUUAAAUGCGCCACGCGUCCGGCCAACGGACGCUCCAGAUGUGGAGAGCUAGCGGCACGUGGGCCGUUGGAUCUGGGAGACAGCCUGGCCGUUAGAAGUGGGUGGUUUCGCUUUUUUUUUUUUUCUUUUUAUCGCUUUCCACAUGCCAGAAAUGCGUUGACUGCGCCACUGACCGUGGACCUGCCCCAACUACUUCGCCUUUGGGGAUUAAAAAACCAGUAGAAAUGAUUUUUUUCGGCCAGUCCGUGUACGGCGGAAUGGGACAUGCGUACGGCAACAAACGGGCCAUAGUCCAAUGGAACUUGGGUAACUUGGAACUCUGGAACUCCUGGCUGGCUCUGGAUGUAUGGGCCCUAGAUUUUAAAACCACCUUUCGCGCGGUUUUAAAAAAUUUAUUUUGUCUCCCGAUCUGAUCUGCCAGAUCCAAACCCAGUCGCUCCAUCUCUCUCGAAUUCUUGUUUUUCGACCAGGUGCACACUUGUCUGGUGUUUGUCUCCGCGAAUUAUCGAGGAAAGGGGAGAAAAGGGCUGGGCGAGCGCUUAAAGAAACGCUUCCCAGCAGCCCAUUCCAUCCACGGGAGGAACAGAUCCCGGUAAGCAUCAACUUACGUGUGUAGGAAAACGAUCGAUCGCGGGAUCGAUCUGGACAAAAAUGGACGCCAAACCGAGACAAAGAGAGAGAGAGUAAGAGGAGAAAAAAUAGAGGCCAAUGCAUACAAUGCAGUGUUAGACUCACUAACUUACGUGGGGGAGAUUUUUGUAGCUUUGUUAUGGUCUUGGAGGUUGUUACUUGCAACAACUUUACUCGACCAGGAAAAAAUUUUCGUUUGUGUCGGCCACCAUCUCUCCUCGUAUGUUGAAACAAAUCUUUGGCGUGUUAUAGGGUUCCACCACCACCUUUUCUUCCUUUCUAAAAACCCUAAAAGAGCGCAUGCCCAUUUUGUCGCCAAACAUCACAUUCACGUUUUAUCCUUGCAGAUCCGCCCAGAUCGCGGAAUCAAUGGUUGGUUGGGUGGGCCAGAGAGGCAUAAGCGCAAGCCUCAAGCCCUAGCAUUUCGCGGAAGCUUCCUCCGCGUGGAUCCAAGCUGGCGCUGACUUGACUUGACUGGCCUUGACGCCGCUGCCCGUCCAGGAACAGUGGACUGGUGGACUGGACCACAAACCUUUUCCUUAUUUCUUGCUCCUCUCUCCGCGUAGCAGGGCUGUGGAGUAGCCAAAGAAAGUUAUAGAGGUAGCGUCGUAGCUGCCAAGGGAUGGAAUGAAAUCCAGUGGCAGUAUCAGAAAAAGACGGUGGCGGGCGGGCGGGCGGGCAGUUGGUGGGUGGCGGUGACGUGCUCGUCCGCCCAUUCCUUUGUGUGUGGGAUGAGGUAAGAUUUUGCGCAUAAGGUGCGUGACGUCCACCUGUCUGUCCGUUUGAUGCGAUCCCCCUCGUCCGGCCGCCAUAAUUGAAGGACGGACGGAUGGAUCGAUACAACAAUGUUACAAUAGCAACAGAAAAAAAAAAGAGGAAAGGAAAAAGAGAGAAAAUAAAGUGAAAAAAAAGAAGUUGUGUUGAUGAAUUGAAUCGAAUUGAAGUGAUGUAAGUUUUCCACAAGUUGAUUGAUUGAUCGAUUGCCUUCAACGACCAGGACAGCAUGAGGCAACUUAUAAACUUUCAGACAGGUGCAAAUUUUUUUUUCAAAAGCUUAAAACCGGUGGAAUGUUCCCAUGGGAUAUGCUCGCAACAGGGCAUGGGCAUGGCCCAUUGCCCAUGAUUGCUAUGCCUAUGAUGUCAGCAUGCAUGACGUCAUGUCAUCCCGGCCAUGGAUGAGGACAAUGCCAUGCAUAGAGGAUAACAACACUGCAUGGUGGCGUGGCGUGUUUCUGUCCAGUGAUUGAAAAUACACCCAGGCAGUAAAUGUGUGUGUGACUUCUCCAGCUAAUCAACAGCUGGGGUCCGUUAGUUCUUCUAUAUAUUUUUCUACCGGCAAGUUAGUUUAACCUUCUACUUGGGUAAACCUUGUUUGUUUGUUUUGAAAAAAGCUCGCACGUCCGCGUCCGCGUGAUUUAAGAAUCGAAUCGCUUGGCUUAGAAAAUCUAGACAUUGACUGAUUAUUUCUUAGCCCAAACACACAAGAGGCAUGAAAUGAAACUUGGUGGUGGAGGCCCCAUUCUAAUGUGAGGGGCAAAGGGGACAUUCGAGCCAUUGUUAAAUUGGUCAGCUCACACGUCCAAAGCUCGCCACCUUUCUUUUUUACAAGGCUAGGGCUCCUCCUGUUAGUUUAAACCCCCGCAUUUAAGCGAGUGUCGGUUGGGGAGCCAGUUGACAAAACAGAAAACCGAAAAAAGUGCGGGCGGGAAGGAUGAUGGGAAGUUUCGGUGCCUUUAAAAUGUCUUCUUUUUUAUCUUUUAUACAAGGGCGUGUCACUUUCGUGAUGAGAAACCAAGAGGGGGAGAAGUUCUUUGUCCAAAUCUCACAGGCAUCUUGAUGACGUCCAACUAUCAUAUCGAUAUCCCAACGCUCUUUAGCUGCGCGAUUUCUUUCGUGGCGCUCUAUCUUCUGGGAUGAGAUGAGAUGAUCCUUCCAAUCUCCUCCUAUAAUUACGGCGAUGUGAAUAUGGUCGUCAAUCACGGCGCGAGAAAUAUCAACGAUCCAGCUUGUCCCAGCCAAGAUCAAGGGACCAAGGAUUGAAUGCUCGCCCCGGUCCAAAUCACAAUGAAAGUAAAGGGAAGGGGGAACGCCCUAGAAGAGUGCAAACAAAGGCGAUUCGAUGCUGAUCUUGGAAGUUGACAUGACUGGAAAGCUCCACACACACGAAUUUGUAGCGGGCGAGGAUCGAACCCACGACUUCUUUCUUGCGAGUGGUGUUAGGCGGGACACCUGGAUAGGAAAACAGUUAAAUUACCAACCCGACAGGCGACCAGACGCGGCUGCGAGACAGCCGUCCGAUGGCUCCCUGUUAACGGUGGCAGUUAGAUGUCUUUGCACGCAAUUGACAACCAGAUAAAGCCCGUACCGCGAAUAUCCCGCGAAGAUAUCGCGGACAACUGUGUCUAACUGCCGGCUAUCUAGGAGCAUCCAACGGCCUCAGCGCCACCACGCUUAAACAGAAGAUCCGCUCCUACAAUGGUGGUCAAUAGCUUUGGUCAAUGGUCAUAUAUGGUCAUAUACAAUGUAAAGUUAAAGAAGCGCCAUUUUCACUCAAAACCCUAGGGAUGGGGUUUCUCUACGCCUACGCGCUCGUCUUCUAUGCGCUGUUCGUCUGGCGCUCGAUCGAUCUCUCCUCAGGUAUAUGCGAUGAACGCGAUCGAUCCAAGCUCACAGAUUUCGGGAAAUGCGAGGGCAGGGAAGGAGGCUUGGGGUCUGCGGGGAUUGAGAAGGGGCUGGAUUUUGGAGCGCAAUGUGGUAAUCCAGAGUCUUUCCCCUUUUCGCGUUGUUCUUGCUGAAAUCUUCUUGCUAUAGGAUCUGUCUGAUGCGCAAUGGCGGAAUUUUCGAGCAAAUCUCCCAGCCCUGACGAUCGUCCUGGGAGGUUUCACGGUUUUAAGCUUGAUCCUUACGCAUGGUUUGAGGUUUGGAGGCAAAGGAAUGUCGCGCUAUUGGCUUGUAGUUUCGACCAUCUUUCUGGCGUACAUGCACGAAUGCUGGUGAGUUUUUUGGUUCCUUCUCUUUGUCUCUCUUUUCUUAUGAGCUUUCGAAUGCCAGUAUUGUAUUUAUAGUUGCUAUAGCGGCUGGAAACUUCGCCCUCACAAAGGUCGUUUAUUGCUCUUUUUCUUCGAUCUUUUUUUCUCAAAGGUUGUGAUCUCGUUUGUGCUAGAUUGCAGGUGGAAGGUCCUUCUUUCCGAUUCUUCUUUGGAGCUACAACUUGGCAUUUCUCAUACUAAAUAGAGUCUACGAGGGCUACUCCUUUACGUCUCUUGGGUAUGUUAGUGCUCGUUUUUCCUUGACUUGAAUUUAUCAUUUCUUGCAUAGAGAGGCUUUUGCAAGGCUUGACAAACAUCGGGGUGCAAUGCGGUGGCAUAUCAGUUUCAAUUUUGGUAUGAGAAGAGUUUCUUUUUUCCCUUCUAUUUUUUUUAUUCUAAAUUCUCUAUUUUAGUUAUGCUACGAAUGGUGAGCUUUGGCCUAGAUUACCAUUGGACUCGUUGUUGUCGACCGUCGGCUAUUAAUUGGGAGGUUUGUUUGCUCCUUGUUUGGGUUUCCUCUUCUCAUGUUGUAAAACUUUUUAGAAGCACAACGCUACUUGCAGUGAGUGCCAAACUGGUAACCCGUGCUACCUCUCGCGUCAGGUAAUGUUUUUGAUGCAGCUUUUGAGCCAGCACUACUUACUGUAGCUUUAGGAGAAAGUCUUACCGGCAAAUGCCUAUGGCUUGACAGCGUACUUCAGCUAUUUGUUCUAUGCACCGCUCUACAUCGCUGGCCCGGUUGUUAGCUUCAACUCGUUUUCUUCACAGGCAAGUUCUUUUCGCCCUUUGAGUUUUGAUGUUUAAAGAUCUCUAAUGCAGAUUGAGAAUCCGCGGAUAGGCUACAAGCAGGCUGGUGCCUACGGUAUCAGGUGGCUUGCUUGCCUGCUACUUAUGGAACUUAUGACACACUAUUUUUACUAUAACGCAUUUGCUACGAGCAGGGUUUGGCCAAAGCUGUCACCCGUGCAAAUCUUUAUCGUUGGCUAUGGAGUAAGUGCGAGCAGUUUUUGUACGUUGUUGAGUAACUUUUGUUCUUUUUGCAGGUGCUCAACUUCAUGUGGCUAAAGUUUCUUUUGAUCUGGAGGUUCUUCCGAUUCUGGGCCCUGGUAUGACGUACUUUCUCGCUUGUGAUGUGUUUUUAAGCUCUUUGAUAGAUGUCCGGUGUAGAGUCACCCGAAAACAUGCUACGCUGUGUGAACAACUGCUAUGACCUAGAGGGGUUUUGGAAGAGCUGGCAUGCAUCUUACAAUCGCUGGCUCGUAAGGUGUGAAAUUUGUCGUGCUUUCCCUUUCAAAACAUCCUCGUAAACUUCUUUUCUUUUUGUUGAAGAUAUAUUUACAUUCCUCUUGGCGGCUCUAGAUGGAAACUUCUCAACGUAUGGAUUAUCUUCACGUUUGUUGCAUUGUGGCACGACUUAGAAUGGUAAGUAACAACCGAACUCUUUAUCCUCAUUAACGCUUGCUAACUUGUCGAUACUACAGGAAACUUCUCUCCUGGGCCUGGAUGACGUGUUUACUCUGGUUGCCAGAAGGCUUGAUGAAGCUUUCUCUUCGCUUGAAACAGGUAUCUUGUUUUUAUUUCCGUUUUAGCGUGACACGAGUUUUUUAGAUGCAAAAACUGCAAAAGAAUUCGCCAGCGUUAUUCACUGAAGGCUGUGCCAUUGCCAGUGCCCUCAACAUAACCGGCUUGAUGGUAUGAAUCACUUUAGAUUCAUAGUUCUUACUAGUGCUGAGACUGGCAGAUGGCAAACCUCAUCGGAUUCGUUGUUGGCCCGGCGGGAUUUAAAGAGCUCAUUAGUAAGCUCUUUGUGAAGCAAAGUAUGCUCUCUCUAUUUUCCUGUUUUUGGAAUGGUUUUAACGAGACUGUUUUGCAGAUGCUUGGCUUUGUCUCGGGAUUUUCUUCUCUUUCUACGUGGGUGCCAAGGUGAGGAUUGGAACGUUUUUUCUUCCUUUUCUCUUAUUCUUCAUGCAUUGUGCAGCUUAUGUUUCGAGUGAGGGAGGCCGAGGCUUAUAAAGAUAAAAAACGGUGACUAUUUCGCUUUAUCCUUUAUCUAGACAACGCUUGGUUCGGGAUAAACUUUCGAGCCAAGACGAAAAAUGUUUCACCCCUCUGUAUUCUCGACGGGAACCAUCUGGAAUAUAUGCCUUUUACAUUUUUUUCGUUCGUAUUUCAGUCAGAUUAUCAACCAACGCAAGCUGUUCAGUUACUUCUAACUUUCAUGCAAGCAAAUGCAGCAGCAAGUUCUUCACAGCCUGUCAAUCAAUGGACUUGUGAGUUUGCUUUCGAUUUAGUUCUUAAGUCCUUGACAAAAAUUUCUUUUUUCACAGGUGUUGAAUUUGAUGCAUCGAUUCUGGGCCCUGGUAUGUGUAGCCUACUUUCUAGCUUCUGAUGCGUUAAGUGCGGCAUUGGUGUGUGUUGCGUGAACAACUGCUGCCAGUUUCAGCUCGUCAGGCAUGAACUUUUAUCACUUGCGAUGCAACGCUAUCACGAGUGGCUGUUGGUUGUAGAUCUUUCGGCUGCUCUCAAUAGAAACACGUUAACGUGUGGAUGAUUCUUUCGCAUUGCGUCACGACUUGGAAUGGUAAGUGAGAGCCAGACUCUUGCGUUCCUAUCCAAGCUUGCUAACUUGUAAACACGACAGGACAGGUCGUGUCUACUCUGGUUGCCAGAAGGCUUUGAUGAAGCAAGCUUGUUGGCUUCAAACAGGUAGCCUUUUUUCUUGCUCAUAGUUUGACACACUUUGCAGAUACAAAGUCUGCAAAAGUAGUGUGAAUCACUUUCACUGAUGGCCUUAUCGGUUCUCGUUGUUGGCUCAGCGGGAUCCAAAGCGACUCUCUUUCUGAGACAAACGUGCUCUUAUUCUAUCUCUCUGUUAUUUAGUUUUGCUUGCUGGUUUACUGUUUUUUUUUCCUUUUUGGUCAUCUCAAGCAAGACCGCGCUUUGUCCCGGUAUUAUUUCUCUCUUUCUACGUGGGAGCCAAGGUGACCAUUCCUUUUCUAGCAGAUGAUAUUUCUUUGUUCGCUCUUGGAAUAACAUUUGACGCAUUGUCCAGCUUAUGUUUCGAGUCAGGGAAGCCAAAUGUCAUAACGAUAAAAAGUGGCGACUGCGGCUGGAAAGCUGGUUUGUUUCACAUCCAUUUAUCCUUUGGUCUGUGACGAGAUGAUCGGUUUUUUUUUACUAGGAAUCCACAACACUACCUUGGCUGGAUUGCAAAGUUUUUGAUCCAGAGAAAGAUCGCGGGUCAAGUCAAGAGAAGAAAGAAUCAAAGCUUUUGACAAAGAGAGUGAGGUACUUAUCAUCCGUGAGGAAUUCUUUUCUCUUCCUUUUUUUUUUCUCAGUCCCAUCAACAAGUUCUCGAUGACGAAUAUGAAAUCGCAAAGGUCUCAUCGAUUCUCCAAGUUCUUGGACCAGUCAAGCCAUAAGAAAUCUCCUUUCGGGUCACCAGGUGUGUUUCCACUUGAGUUUUUUAAUGGCUCCCUUGACAAUGAUCCAUGUCUCCGUGAAUAAACUUUUGCUUGCUUGCUUUGUUUGAAUCGAGCACCAAGAUCUUGAGUGGAGUUGAAUACAAGCGCCAUUGUUUUAAUAUUCUUCCUCUCAUCCUUACGUAGGUACUUGGUGGAGUAAUCAAACGUUGAAAGCAAUGAUAAAAAGCUGGAUAGUGGUACCCGAAAUUUCUCGAGCAUGGAGCCGGGGGAAUCUUUUCGUUUCUUGACAAAGUGAUUCUUUCUCUAGGCAGCAGGGAAUGGAGCAUCUCACGAACAAAGCCCUUAAAGCUGGGAAAAAAAGAAGGCCGGAUUUAAGUAUCAAAGCACUAGCGAGCGACCCUCUUUGCUUUUAGGCAGUGGUGUUUGAGGUCACCAUGCAAGCAAAGCAAAAGUUGGCGAGAUAUUGGUAAUCUACGCAAAAAGAAGGAUCGGACUGGAACCCACACGCUAUAAAGACAAAGCACGCUCAAGAAGAAUGGAAGAAUUCCAUGCAACUAGAGGAAAGAAUGGAAGUACUCAUACCUAUGGUUGCUGAUCAAAGAAAGGUUUGGAUGCGUCUAUGAGGUUCCAUCAUCAGUUUUGAUUGCCAGGCGUGCGCAAACAUGUAUUUGAUAUGGUUUCCAGUUUAAUCUAUUAUUAAUAAGAAUAUAUAAACAGUUAUAUUAAUAAUUAAAAAAGUUGCAUUAGAUGUCAAUCGCUUCUUAACAUAUUUGACGCGCUUCAGCUUUUGGAAUGGAGCCCAGUGACAGUAUAGCAAACGUAUCCACGGCGUAUAAAGAGGAAAGUCCUAGCCUAGCGUACUUUCUCUUUUCUCUGUCUGGAUAAUUUCUUUUUACUUACUAAAUUAUCAUUAGUAAUAACUAGAAUAAUUAAGUUUAUCUCAGAGGCUUGUUUUAUAGAAUUUAGGUUUGAAAAACUGGCGGGAAAAGCAGCCGUUUAAAUUGCUGGGGUUUUUGUUGCUCAAGAACCCUAAUCGCGCCUGGGGACAAGACGUAAGAUCGGCGAACAGCGAGCGCAGCAGCAGCGCCCUGGCUCUCUCUGGCGCUCGCAUUAAUCUAGUACUCGCACUGGUAAGCGCCUCGUUCGUCUCUUCUUGGCUUCUUGUUGGCCAAUGGCUGUGUGCGAUUCAUACGGCUCCAUUUGGUGGUACAUAUCUGAUUCGCAUUCAAAUCGAGUCAAGUCCACCUCUUUUUUCCCCAGCGCCAGGCCUCCAGUGUGGAGCGAAAUAGAAAGGCCAUAGAUUUGCUACGGGAUUCCUUGUUUUCCCACCCCACCUCCUCGGUUCUCCAAGUUUUCUCCCAAUUUUUUUUUCGCCCCCUUGCAUGCUUUUAUCUUUGUUUUUUUCGUGUUGGUGGAGCUCUGCCUGAUUCUCUUAAGUAUGAAUCUCUCUUUUUCCUUUUUUUUUUUUUUCCUCUCUUCUCGUUGGUGUUGUUGCUAAGCGUGCUGUGGAGCCUGGUCUUGUUCUUUUGGUGCUGGUGGUGCUCUGAUCCUUCUUUCCUUCUUUCGUUGCUUGCUUUCGUGGGUCUCUUCUAUAUAUGUGUACAUAUCUCUGGCAAGGAUAGGACUUGGCAUCUUCCAUAUGUAUGCGUCGUAGGACAGACCCAACAUCUGGUGCAGAGCUGAGGAGUCCUUGCAAAUGCACAGACGCGGGCAGUAGCGGCAGCAAACCAACUACCAUACAAAUAUGCUGCGAGCGAUGCGAUGAUAUCAAAACAAAGAGGGGGAAAAAUCCAUCCAAAAAGCCUGGCUUCGGCAAUUACAACCUCGCGAGCUGGACAGAGAAGGUGCCGCUUCAUCUUCAUACCAUUUUGACAUCAAUCAGGCUCACCAGGUGUGUGUAUGCUGCUCUAAGUAUCUUUGCUCCUUUCGCUUCUCAACUUGGCUUGAUUGUUGGUACUUGCAUUACCCAUUUUCGUAAGCUGUGGUGGGAUUCUUUCUCGUAGUUACUGUCGGGGCUUUGCGUGUGAUUGUUCCAUCUUUUCUCGUUUUAGCUAAAGCUGUACAGGCGGCUUUCUCUGUGAGUGCUGUUUCUUUCCUUUAGUUUACUUUUUCGGUCUUUUGCGUCGUCACUUUGCGUAGCUCCUCUGGUACAGUAUGGGGGCGCAUUCUGCAUAAUUCUGUGCAUCUUGUAGAGCUACUAGUAGUAGUAGUAGUAGUAGAAGGAAGUAGUAGUAGAAAUCGUAGUCGAAUGCUUUGCUGAUACGAUUCUUUCAUACUAGUGCGUCUCUGCGUGUACUGUCUAGUAGCUAUGACAUUGAAAUGGAUGGCAGCAGCAAUACGUACAAGGCUCUGAUCCAUUUUAUCUUUUCAGUGAAUCAGGAAGGGAGCGAGCGCUUGGCUACUGCUACUUAUACUACGUUGUACAAGUCCUUAGAGCUUAACCAGGUUCCAGCGACUGUACACUGUAAACAAGCAACUUGGAGUUUCCCAGACUUACAAGAGGACGACGACUCUACUCACAGGGAAAACCAGGACUCGAGGGUAUAUCAGACGAGGACAAAGGUUUUGAUGCUGCUGGGCUCGUAGUGGAAACAAGGCUUCUCAACAAGUCAAGUGGUGGUGGCACUGGAGGAGGUACCUUUUAGCUAAGCUAAGAAGGAGCUCUAUACUCGGAAGAGGUAGAAGUCUAGAAGGCCGGAAUUCGAGACAGGGCAUGGGGACGAAUACGAACUCGACGAGCAUUACACCGGAAAAACGGAAGACAGAGCAGGGAAUGCUCCGGACUUCAGCAGCUACGCUGGUGGUUUUGGCUCUCCUUCUCCUCCAACAGGCUCAACUUUCCUCUUCUCAAGCCUCUCAGGAUGCUGUCAAUCUCCUGGCAUUGAAACUGGACAUCGUGGAUGGGCUGGGAUAUCUAUCGGACUGGAAAGAUUCUACGACAACGCCAUGCAGCUGGACGGGUGUGACUUGCGACGACGAGCACCAGAUAUCCAGCUUGAAUCUCGCCUCCAUGAACCUGACAGGUAGAGUCAAUGAAAACAUUGGUCUGCUCAGCUCGCUUUCAGUGCUCAACCUCAGCGACAACUCCCUCAGCGGCGAUCUUCCGCUGGCGAUGACAAGCCUCACGAAUCUCGACACCCUGGACAUCAGUGAGAAUCAAUUCACCGGUCGUCUCACCAAUGCGAUUGCCAAUUUACAUCUCUUGACGUUCUUCUCGGCUCAUGACAACAACUUCACGGGACCGCUGCCGUCGCAGAUGGCUCGUCUGGUCGACUUGGAGCUGCUCGACUUGGCUGGAAGCUAUUUCUCUGGGAGCAUCCCUCCGGAGUAUGGGAAUCUGACCAAGCUCAAGACGCUCAAGCUCUCUGGGAACUUGCUCACUGGGGAGAUACCGGCAGAGUUGGGGAACUUGGUAGAGUUGAACCACUUGGAACUUGGCUACAACAAUUACAGCGGAGGAAUUCCAAGAGAGUUUGGGAAGCUCGUCCAGCUCGAGUACCUGGAUAUGUCGCUGACAGGCCUCUCCGGAAGCAUACCAGCAGAGAUGGGAAACUUGGUCCAGUGCCACACCGUUUUUCUCUACAAGAACAGGCUCUCCGGGAUUCUACCUCCAGAGAUUGGCAACAUGAGCGGACUUAUGUCACUGGAUAUCUCGGACAAUCAACUCAGCGGGCCAAUUCCGGAAAGCUUCUCGAGGCUGGCCAGGCUCACUCUCCUCCAUCUCAUGAUGAACAACUUAAACGGUUCCAUUCCCGAGCAGCUGGGAGAGCUAGAAAAUCUGGAGACUCUAUCCGUGUGGAAUAAUCUCAUCACCGGGACGAUUCCUCCUCGACUCGGCCAUACGAGGAGCUUGAGCUGGAUCGACGUCUCGUCCAAUCUUAUAUCGGGGGAGAUCCCUCGCGGGAUCUGCAAAGGUGGCUCUUUGAUCAAGCUGGAGCUCUUCUCCAAUUCUCUCACCGGUACCAUCCCCGACAUGACUAACUGUAAGUGGCUCUUUCGAGCUCGGUUCCACGACAACCAUCUCUCGGGCCCGAUACCAGCGGCAUUCGGGGCCAUGCCGAAUCUCACGCGGCUGGAACUCUCCAAGAACUGGCUCAACGGAAGCAUUCCGGAAGAUAUCUCGGCCGCUCCACGCCUGGCUUUCAUCGACAUCUCCAGCAACAGGCUGGAAGGCAGUAUACCGCCGCGAGUGUGGAGCAUACCGCAGCUGCAAGAGCUCCAUGCAGCCGGGAACGCGCUCUCCGGGGAGCUCACCCCGUCUGUAGCCAAUGCAACGAGAAUGCUGGUGCUGGACCUGUCCGAGAACAAGCUCCAGGGGCCGAUACCACCCGAGAUCGUCUACUGCUCUAAGUUGGUCACGCUCAACCUCCGGAAGAACACGCUGAGCGGACAAAUCCCGGUGGCUCUAGCUUUGCUCCCGGUCCUCUCCGUCUUGGACCUGUCGUGGAACUCUCUCCAAGGGAGAAUCCCAGCACAGUUUUCGCAGUCCCGGAGCUUGGAGGACUUCAACGUCUCAUACAAUAGUUUGUCCGGACAGCUCCCGACGUCCGGACUAUUCUCGUCUGCGAACCAGAGUGUCUUUGCCGGGAACCUCGGGCUGUGUGGAGGAAUUCUUCCACCCUGCGGCUCAAGAGGGAGCUCCUCCAAUUCAGCUGGUGCCUCGUCGAGAAGAACGGGACAGUGGCUCAUGGCAAUCUUCUUCGGGCUGUCAUUCGUCAUACUCUUGGUCGGAGUGAGGUAUCUCCACAAGCGCUACGGAUGGAACUUCCCGUGUGGAUACCGGAGCAAGCAUUGCGUCCGAGAUUCGGCCGGUUCCUGCGAGUGGCCGUGGAAGAUGACGGCCUUCCAGCGGCUGGGCUUCACGGUGGAGGAGCUUCUCGAGUGCAUCCGUGACAAGAACAUCAUCGGCAAAGGCGGGAUGGGGGUGGUGUACAAGGCCGAGAUGGCGAGCGGCGAGGUGGUGGCGCUCAAGCAGCUUUGCAACAACAAAGAGAGCUACUACACCGACCAGGGGUUCCUGUCCGAGGUGAAAGUUCUGGGGGGGAUAAGGCACAGGAACAUCGUCCGGCUGCUGGGAUACUGCUCCAAUCACCACACCGACAUGCUGCUCUACGAGUACAUGCCGAAUGGAAGCUUGAGUGAUCUUCUCCACGGACAGAAGAACUCUUCCAGCCUCUUGGCGGACUGGGUUGCGAGGUACAACAUCGCAAUGGGAGUGGCGCAGGGGCUGGCUUACUUGCACCACGACUGCUUCCCUCACGUCAUAAUUCACAGGGAUGUCAAGUCGAGCAACAUUCUCCUGGAUCACAACAUGGACGCCAGAGUUGCGGACUUUGGUCUUGCAAAGCUGAUCGAGGCGCGAGAAUCCAUGUCCGUUGUUGCUGGCUCGUAUGGUUACAUCGCUCCAGGUAUGAGCUACUCGUUCCUUGGUUUGUUUGUUUGCUCAUUCCUAGCUUGUUUGUUUGCUCAUUCCUCCAGACAGUUUUUAGAUCUGCUUAGAUGAAAACAAAUGCUUGAGUAGCUCUCACUUGUUUCCUUCUUCUUUUCUAUUUGGUUUUUCUAUCGCUCUGCUACUCGUUCGUCUAUUUAUUCAUUCACGCUUGUAUCUUUUUUCUUUAUUUUUUCUUUUCUUCCGUGAUAGAUAUCGGUCAUUCAUUGCUUGAAAGAGUUGGUUCUGCUUUCCUGUUGGUUUGUACCAGGCCUUUUUUUUCGGCCUUGUAAUAAUCUAUAUGCACUCUUUGCGAUAGGAUAUGUUUGCUUGAGAGGUCUUGCUGUUUGGCUGCUUGUCCUGUUGGUUUCUUACAGGCUUUUUUCUUCCUUGUGCUUACGUUCCAGGCUUUUCUUUGUUUUACGUGCAUGUUUUGGUCGUGGGUUGCAACUUUGUUCGUUUCACUCGAUCUAAAAGUCGAAAACUUUGGGUUUUUGUGAUUCCAGAGUACGCGUACACGAUGAAAGUGAGAGAGAAAGGUGACAUAUACAGCUACGGCGUGGUGCUGCUGGAGCUCCUCACUGGCAAGCGGCCAAUCGAGCCAGAGUUUGGAGAAGGCAGCAACAUCGUCGACUGGGUCCACUCCAAGCUGCGAAAGGGGCGGCUGGUGGAAGUUCUCGACUGGAGCAUUGGCGGCUGUGAGAGCGUCCGUGAGGAGAUGCUGCUGGUGCUCAGAGUGGCGAUGCUGUGCACAAGCAGGGCCCCUCGCGACAGGCCAACGAUGCGAGACGUGGUGUCCAUGCUCAUCGAGGCGCAGCCCAGGAGAAAGCAACUCAGCGCCAUCUCUAGCAGCAAAGCUAGCAGUGGCAAGAGGAGGAGCAAUGAUCAAGACGAUGACGAAGAGGCUAAAGAAAAGGAGGAGCAAGAGGAGGAAAGCUCACAGCAGCAGCAAAAGAAGAAGAAUAAGAAGAUGAAGAAGCACGAACUGGAAGAACUCCAAGAAUCUCUAUCAUAGUUAUAAAUAACAUUAAUAUUGAAUGCAACAAUGUUAUGAUAAUCGAUAAGGCAAAGUAAUGUAUUUCAUUCCAGCUUCCACAAAAAUGAGAAGGAAAAUUUGCAAGUGUAUCUAGCCUUACCGCUAAAAUGCUGCCAGGUACCUCGGGACAAUAACAACACAGCUAAUACGUCCUUGCUUCUCACAAUCCCCCAACUAGGCAGCAAGAAAGAAGGCAUCUUGGCAUACCCAUCCAAUCCUCACAGCACAAUUGGUGGCGAAAUCCAUCUCCCCAUGGCAUACCAAACACUCUUGGAUUCCAAUAGCAAUGCAUGUGAGGUUGUGAUGUCCAGUUAUUUUCAUCAAUUUGUCUUGAGAGAAUAGAAAGCAACACCACCACGUACAUACUCUUGUUAAUAGCCGUGCUAAUUGAUAUCAUUUUUCUUCACUGAUUAAGAUCAUGAGAGAAAUGUUGGAAAUUCUCCAUUGCUCUCUAUUAUUGCUGCCGAUCACACAGCAUAUGUGAUAUAAUACAUGUUUUUGAAGUCUUGCAUUGCCCAAUUGGAGGCAUGAGACUACAAUGCUGAAGCAUUAUACCAAGAUUCAUGUUUUGUUUGUUAUGCUAACAAAUUUUCAUGUUUAGAGAACUAUCUCAUAUCUCAUAUCCCUCUACUUUGGCCAGUGCCAAUAUAUACAAAAAGAAACAGAAAGAAACACUAAAGCAGCACUCUUUUAGUUUUCAUAAUUCUUCAUAACAAUUUUGCUCCUUUCACCCUCCUCUCCACUACUUUUUUAAACUCUAUUUUAACUAUAACCUCUUCAGUUUUUUUCUCAUUAAAAAAAGGUAUGAUAAAUAAGUCCACUUCAUUUCACAUAUUCUUAUUUUUCAAUACAUAGAAGUCAAAAUAAAAUAUAAAGAGCAACAUAACUCUACUUCCUUUGGGAUUGUGAUAUUUAAGCUAGUGUAUAGAUAUUCAAAUUUGGCAUGAUGGGAUAUAUGGUUUUUUUCAAUGCUUACAACCCUUUAUUGAGUAUAAUGUUAAGUUGGACAAGCAAAAGUGGCAAAGAAUGUAUUUAUUCAAAAUUGAAGACUAAAGGGACCAAAGAGUGAUAAGGUUUUCAAUUUAAAGCUAUUAUUGAAGCCAUAAUUAUUUUCAGGAUUACUAGUCUUCUCAUUAAGUUUUUAUAUUUUUAAAUGGAAAUAUACAUACUUUCUAUAAUUGUUAUUUAUAAACCAGACUUAAAUGAAAGUAAUUUUAGCCAUAAUAUUCUGGUUUUGAACAUAGGAUAGGAUACAACUUUCCAUGUCUGAUUAGGGCAAAUAGGAACCUUUUAUUGAAUAUUUCUAUAUUUAGAAUUCACAAUGAUAAUUUGUAUAGUUCUAUUACAAUAAAGCUUCACUAAGAAAAAAACUAUUGUGGAUUCUAGAAAUUGCAGUCUUUCUUAUCAAUUAUUUUCAGUUGAAAAAGAAAAAUUAAUCCAUCCUUAAUGACAUUUGUAGGUAUAUAUAAAUGAAUAUUAUAUGGAGAAUAAAUUUAAAUUUUAGUAUUUAUUUUGUAUUUCACUUACGUACAAAUCAUUGUUAUUCUCCAAGAAUAAGUACUCGCUUAUUCUAUAAAAUGGUGUAAAGAAUAUAUAUUAGGUUAAAAGUAAAAAUUAAUAAUUGCCACUAUAAAAGUAAUUUUAUUAAAAAAUUGUUUAUUUAAAAGAACACAUCAUAGAUUAGAUUUUAAUUAAUAGUUAUUAAGAUAACCUAAAGUAUAAAAGAAAUUAUAGAUAUUUAUAUUUUUAAUUAUAUAAAACUCAAAUUGUGGAAUAAUGAUUAUUAAAACAAGUAAUAUGGAUAUUUUUAAUUAGAAUUUGUUAUUUAUAAAAACUUAUAAAUUUAUUGUACAAUUUAACUAAUUUAAUAUACUUACCAAAAUCCAAAUAAUACUUAUUUUCCUAGGCAUAAGUAAUGUUUACAUCUGUCUUUUCAUUACAAAGAAGAGAUGGCAUAGCCCCUGCAUGGAAGAACAAGCAAUUUUAAUGCUAAAACUCUUCCUUUUCUCACCUUCCUUUCUUUUGUUCCUCAAGUCCCUCUCCUUCCCCUUUGUUUUCUUUCAUUUCCUCUUUGAUUCGCUCUUCUUCUUCAUCGUGGCUGCCCCGCAGCACUACUCCCGCCUUGCAUCCAGUAAGAUUGCUGGCUGCUCCCACCAUACCUGGACGACGAUCCUCCAGGCGCAUAGCCUUGUGAUUGCUGCUGCUGCUGGAUCAGCGAUCCCAUUGCCAUCAUCCCACCACCACCAUUUUGAUUCUGAAACUGCUGGAAAUCACCACCACCACCACCAGCGCCACCACCACCACCACCUUGCUGCUUCACGUUGGCCUUCUCUCCCUCAGUCUCUCGAUACCUCUGGAGAUAGAGCUUGAGUGGAUCGAUGUAGUCCUCGAAUCCCAGCGUCCCCAUCGCCCAGAGGAGAUCAUCGCCAUUGAUGGUCUUGCGCUUCUCGCGCUUGCACUUGUCCGAGGCCUCGCCGGUGAUGAAGCUGAUAAACUCGGACACGCACUCCUGGACGGUCUCCUUGGCGUCCUUGGAGAUCUUGGCAUUGCCGGGCAGGACCUUCUUCAUGAUCCGGCUCACGUUGGCGAUGGGGAGGAAUCGCUCCUGCUCUUUCACCGAGGAGUAAUUCCCCCCACCGGAUUCGUUGUCCGAGUGUGGGCUGCUCUCCGGCGUGCCUGGGUAAUCCGCCAUGGCGCUGCGCUACAAUCCUUCUCCUCCUCCCUCCGCGGAUCGCUGGAUGGAGGGAUGGACAAUCGACGCUCCCCUGACACGAAAUUCCGAGAGAAAUCAGCGCAAAGAAGAAAAAGGAGCUGGGAUUUCUGGAAGAUCUCCCUCUACGGUCUCUCACGAGCCCUAAUUCCCCGGCAGAGAGAAGAAUGCGCGCUUGACUCAAUCCAAUCCAAGCCAAUCCCAUGCUCCAAUUCCAAGAGAGAUUGCUCUCCUUCUUACCUAGAUAGCGAUGGCGAUGGGAGAAUCCCGCACCGCCAGCUCCUCGCCGCUCGAUCGCACCGGCACCGCCGCCACCCAGCGCCGCCGCCGCCACAUUCUUGCUCCUCUUCGCCACGCCGAUACCUAGAAGCAACGAAAAGGAGGAAAGAACACACCACCAAAUGUGGAACAAGAUAGAAAGAAAGAAAGAAGAAAAAAAUUAACUUUUUUUUUUCUGGAGUCAAAAAAAAUUGGGAGGAUUUAUCUAUUCAUCGCCUGCCUGGAUAAAAAGAAAAGAUGAAAACGUGUCGCCGGUUCGAUUCCCACCAAGCCCUCUUUUCUCUCUUUUCUCUUCUCUCACACCAACGUUUGUGUUCUUAGUUUGUUCUUCGUGUUCUUCGAUUGUUCUUCGUGAAUCCUGGAUGGAUUUUUUUCCUCUUUUUUUGUUCUUGCUUGGGCUCAUGUGUGCGAGGCGGUUGAUGCGACCCAAAUCGGAUACAGCUGCUGCCCGACUUUGCAAUCCACCCUCCCAAACAGGAAGGACCACAAAACGUUGACGAUGCCGGUGCCAUAGUCCAUGCUGUUGCCACAGAGCUCGUUUAGCUCGUCGGCAACGCGCUGAGCGUCACUGGACACGUCGCCUAAUGCCCACGCUAGUGAUAUGUGAGGCCGAGGAGUCUGCCAAAGGAAAGAGAAACGGAGAAGAAAUCCUCAAAACCAAACGAAGAUGGAAAAGCAAAGGCUUACAUCGUAGAAUGGUGGGAGGCCGUGGAGCUUGUAAGCCUCAGUAACCAGCGCUAUUUGCCUGCGAAUCUACAACCACAAAGCAAAUGAAACUGUCAAGAGAAACGAAACCAAACGAGGACACCUUACGUCGGAUAAUCCUCCAGACACAACUUCCAAUCCGAGAAACGUUCUCGAUCGAUCAUCGUUCAAGUAAAUCUCCCAUCUCCCAAACUCGAUCCAGAACCUAGCUAAACGUGCAAUGUCAGCGAAAAGAAACCGUGAGAAAACAAAGCUAACUCACCGUUUCUGGCUUUCAAACUUGUGUCUCAGCAGGGGGAUGAGCGUGUCAAUCUGGUGGACUCUAAUCGGGACUGUUCUCGAGAGACUGAUGUGGAACUCUUUGGCGAGCUGUAUGCCGGAGUCGGCGUUUGAGCGAGAAGUUGUGUCUCUGCGCUUGAAACUCACGACAAUGUCGUCGUCCAUCCCACGCAACUGGGGCAUCAUACUCGAUGCUUUACCAAGUAGUGACUCCAAGACAUUCCGUGCUCCAAGCGUGACAGGAACUAGAAAUCAAGAACACUACAACUUAGAUAUGGAUAUAAGAACAGAUCACACAGCUUACCAGGAAUGUUUACGUAGGAUGGAAAAUUCCCUUCGACAUGUGGGAAUGUGCGUUUUCGUCCAGCAUGACUGGGUGGUAUCACUGCAAGAAGAAAACAAUGGUAAGAACACCGAAAAAAAAAAAGGCAUAAGCGAGAAGAAGAAAAAUACAAUGCUAAGAACAAGAAGCUCUUUUGGAAAGAAAAAAAGUACGAGCGAAACGAAAUGAAGAAGAACAAAGAUCAAAGGAGCUCUUUUCCAGAGACUUACGAGCAUCUGGAAUUUGGUCCAGCUCCGAUGGAGGUGGCGGCAACGGGUUAAGGUUGUAGAUCGAGUAGCGCGCCUUGGUGCGUACUUUUUGCUUUCUCUUUGGAGGGCUGCUGGCGGUGGAAAAUCGAGAAUCGUCCGUGUCGGAGCCCGACGGAGAUGUGUUGUAGAACAUUUGUAUUUCUUCCAUGACCCUCUAGCAAAAAUCGAAAAUCCCUCUCUGUCCAACUAUUUCCACUCCUCGUCCAUGGCAUUAUCCCUCAUUUCACCUUGGCAAAGUGCCUCAUCGGUGGAAAGACCAUAAACCCUGUACCUUGCGGGAGAGUGGUGCCCCUAGAAUCACUGCGCGGCUAAAUCUGUGGCGCCAUACCUGGGGCAACGAGGGCGCCACGUGGCGCCCGUUGUCGAUCGUGUUUCCCGGAGCGCGAUUGUGACGGAUCAGCCUCUCCUCCGCUCAAGGGACGCAAUGCUUGGAAAACGAAAGGAGGAGGAACCCUAAAAUUGCCAAAAAUGUAACAUUUGCUAAGGAAAACGCCUUAAUAUUUUAUUGUCGUUUGAACUAAUUAUGUAUACAAAUCCAUCAUCGUCCACAGAAAGUGUUGUUGAUUUACAUGUUGGACAAUUAAAAUUUAUAAACCAUAUUUCUAUAUCUCGAAAAUCCUUUAUAGUUAAUUUUCCAGUCUCUAAAAGCAACCAACAGUCAAUACCUUUGUUAGAAGUCCCAUUUUCCCAUAAAACAUGUAUUCUUUUCCAAGUUAUAGCUAGAUUACAAUUUUGCUUUAGAUUUAAUUCAUAUUCUCCAUUUGGAGAAAUUAAAGUAUUAGAAUUCAGUAGAUAAGAUCCAAAAUCAUGUUUUUCACCACUCACAAGUGAAGAUCUGUAAAUCCAACAGUUAUUAACAGCUGUAUUUAUAGGAUUUAUAUUUUUCACCAUGAUAAAAUUGUUAGUAUUCUUAGAUCCAUAUUUUCUAGCAUUUAGUAGUUUAUAUUUGAUGCCCACAUAGUUUAAAGUAGCAAUCAUAAAACCAUAGUUUCCUACUCGAGCUUCUCUUAAAACAUCAAGUAGAAGCUCAGUAAGUUUUCCAAUAAUUUCUUCCCCUGAUGCUCCUCCUCCUGUUCCUGUUUGAGCUAAAUUACACAUUCCACCAGGCCUUUUACUAUAAAUCCAGAUGGUAACUUCAAUAACUUUAUCUGAUAAGUAAAGAUAAUCAGUCCAAGUAAAUGCAUUAUAGUAUUUAUAUGUUUCUUCUAUUUGUGUGUCCAUGAGCUUUACUAAGGAUUUUCCAAUUUCAUUAAUAUCAUUUUUAGUAAUAAAAUUGUAAAGUGAAAUAGCAUCCCAAUUUACAUCAUCUUGAAUGGUCAGAUUUUUUAAUUGGGAAAAUAUUAUGAGAAGAGUAGAAAUCCUCACCCUCAUAAGAAAAUAAGACAUUAAGUUCCUAAUGAAAUAAUUAUCUUAAGGAACAAAGCCACAUUUCAUCAAUUAUGUCACCAAAAGCUGUCGUUGGUGUAGAACACGACUUGGUUGCGUAUUUUUUGCUUUCUCUUUGGAGGGCUGCUGGCGGUGGAAAAAUCGAGAUUCGUCCAUGUAAGAGCCCAAUGGAGACGUGUUGUACAACAUUCUCUAGCAAUAAUCAAAGAAUCCCUCUGUGUCCAACUAUUCCUCAUUUGCCUUGGCAGGUACCUCAUCGGUGAGAAAGACUAUAAACCCUGUACAUUGAAUCACUGCGCAGCUAAAUCUGCGGCACCUGGGGCCACGCCAUGGUACCUGUUGUCAAUUUUGUUUCUCAGAGCGUGAUUGAGCCUAUAGGAAACAGAUUGACGUGGUAGUUGAGGUGGGCAAAACUCAACCACAUGGCAGAUUCUAGGAACUUUUCAAAUUAAUGGGAGAAUCAUGAGACUAAAUGCUCCACUAACAAAGUAUGGAGGUGGCAGAAAUCCAUAGUAGCAACAUAGAAGAUAUGAGUUCAAGAGCAGCCAAAGCAAGAGAAAGAAGAAGAGAGGAGCCAAGUUGGACAUCUUUGUUAUGCCAUGUGAGUUAGAAAACUUAGAUUGUUGCACUCACCCCUUGGCAAAAGUUGGCAGUCCAACAAAUUUGUGUUAAUUUUGAUAGUUAAGAUUCUGUUUUGGAUUCUUUAUAAUCUUUUGAAGAUGUUACAUAGCAAGUGGGAAUUCUUUCCUAAGGUAAGAGGAUGGUUCUUGAAGGUAUGCGAGGCAAACUUAGAAGAGCAUGUUGGGAAGAGCUCCAAUAGCAAAAUCUCAAGGUGGCACUACUGAUGCAUGGCCUUAAGAGGUGAGUGGAAGUUGUCCCAAAGCCAGUGGACAAGCAACACUAGAGGAGUUCACAAUUUAGCUAUCUGAGAAUCUUAAGGGGAAUUUAAAUCUUUCUUACAACUCCUGGAUGAGAACAGGGAUUCUCUUCUACAUCCAAAUACCAUGCCCAAUAAAUAUUAACUUACAACAUGCCACUAGAAGGUUUGGCAUCAAGAAUGGUUAUCUAUUUGAUGUGAAAUAAGGUGGUGAUAGUGGUUUGGAGGUUGACCUAAAGGUCUUCACCCUUUAGUGAUCUAUCAAGAUAGCAAUAUUCCCUAAGAAAGGAAUCUAAGUGGAAAAGAAACAUCAGGAAGUCAAGGUUGGAAAAAAUUUACAAGGCUAAAGACUAAUAAAUGAGGAGCAUUCUUUUUAAUAUAAUUCAAAACCAGGUACCCAAGUAUUUCAUUAUGAGGAGGAUAUAUAUGUUCCAAUGGUGUAUAACUCCAUGUUUGGACCAAUAAUUCACAAGUAAGAGUCUUUUGGGGGUAUAGAGGAUCUAAAUUUUUGCAAGAUUCCUCAAUUUUGGGAAAACUCAAGUUUCCCAUGUUUAAAAGCGAUGAUUUAAUAGAUGAGAACCAAGACUAGUUGUUUACUCUCUUUACAACCAAAGAAAUGAAUGAAUGGUUCAUAUAUACUAUGAUUCUAUAGGAAGGAUCUACUAUAUCUAUUGGUCUUGCUUGAGUUUAAUGGAAUAUAAACAAGGAUGAGUUCUUAUUCCAUCUUGGAGAAUAUGAGCUUGGUUUGGAGAAUGAUAGACAAUUUUAUAGAUCAAAUUAUAUUCAAUCUAGGUUGAUUAGUAAGUAUAGAGUUAAAAAUUUCUUUUCCACAAAGUUGAAAAGAAUAUAGUGCAAGAGUUAAUAUACUUAAGCCAAUAAAGAGUAUAUAGAAUUAAAAGUAAUUAUAGUGCAUGUGAUUAUGGGAUGAGAUUUCAAUAUACUAUCAACAUGGAUCCUUAGAACUUGGGAAAUAAAUGAGGAUAAAAUAGCCACUAAGGUUUGUNNNNNNNNNNNNNNNNNNNNNNNNNNNNNNNNNNNNNNNNNNNNNNNNNNNNNNNNNNNNNNNNNNNNNNNNNNNNNNNNNNNNNNNNNNNNNNNNNNNNNNNNNNNNNNNNNNNNNNNNNNNNNNNNNNNNNNNNNNNNNNNNNNNNNNNNNNNNNNNNNNNNNNNNNNNNNNNNNNNNNNNNNNNNNNNNNNNNNNNNNNNNNNNNNNNNNNNNNNNNNNNNNNNNNNNNNNNNNNNNNNNNNNNNNNNNNNNNNNNNNNNNNNNNNNNNNNNNNNNNNNNNNNNNNNNNNNNNNNNNNNNNNNNNNNNNNNNNNNNNNNNNNNNNNNNNNNNNNNNNNNNNNNNNNNNNNNNNNNNNNNNNNNNNNNNNNNNNNNNNNNNNNNNNNNNNNNNNNNNNNNNNNNNNNNNNNNNNNNNNNNNNNNNNNNNNNNNNNNNNNNNNNNNNNNNNNNNNNNNNNNNNNNNNNNNNNNNNNNNNNNNNNNNNNNNNNNNNNNNNNNNNNNNNNNNNNNNNNNNNNNNNNNNNNNNNNNNNNNNNNNNNNNNNNNNNNNNNNNNNNNNNNNNNNNNNNNNNNNNNNNNNNNNNNNNNNNNNNNNNNNNNNNNNNNNNNNNNNNNNNNNNNNNNNNNNNNNNNNNNNNNNNNNNNNNNNNNNNNNNNNNNNNNNNNNNNNNNNNNNNNNNNNNNNNNNNNNNNNNNNNNNNNNNNNNNNNNNNNNNNNNNNNNNNNNNNNNNNNNNNNNNNNNNNNNNNNNNNNNNNNNNNNNNNNNNNNNNNNNNNNNNNNNNNNNNNNNNNNNNNNNNNNNNNNNNNNNNNNNNNNNNNNNNNNNNNNNNNNNNNNNNNNNNNNNNNNNNNNNNNNNNNNNNNNNNNNNNNNNNNNNNNNNNNNNNNNNNNNNNNNNNNNNNNNNNNNNNNNNNNNNNNNNNNNNNNNNNNNNNNNNNNNNNNNNNNNNNNNNNNNNNNNNNNNNNNNNNNNNNNNNNNNNNNNNNNNNNNNNNNNNNNNNNNNNNNNNNNNNNNNNNNNNNNNNNNNNNNNNNNNNNNNNNNNNNNNNNNNNNNNNNNNNNNNNNNNNNNNNNNNNNNNNNNNNNNNNNNNNNNNNNNNNNNNNNNNNNNNNNNNNNNNNNNNNNNNNNNNNNNNNNNNNNNNNNNNNNNNNNNNNNNNNNNNNNNNNNNNNNNNNNNNNNNNNNNNNNNNNNNNNNNNNNNNNNNNNNNNNNNNNNNNNNNNNNNNNNNNNNNNNNNNNNNNNNNNNNNNNNNNNNNNNNNNNNNNNNNNNNNNNNNNNNNNNNNNNNNNNNNNNNNNNNNNNNNNNNNNNNNNNNNNNNNNNNNNNNNNNNNNNNNNNNNNNNNNNNNNNNNNNNNNNNNNNNNNNNNNNNNNNNNNNNNNNNNNNNNNNNNNNNNNNNNNNNNNNNNNNNNNNNNNNNNNNNNNNNNNNNNNNNNNNNNNNNNNNNNNNNNNNNNNNNNNNNNNNNNNNNNNNNNNNNNNNNNNNNNNNNNNNNNNNNNNNNNNNNNNNNNNNNNNAGUCAAAAGUACUUAAUAGACUUCUAGUUUGUCUAUAUCUCAAAUUCAGAUCUAAAAUAUUAUCAUUUAGUCAAAAGUACUUUAUAUCUUUUAGCUUGUAAGAUGUGAUUAGAAUAUGAUGAUAAUAUAAAUGAUUUAGUACCUGAUAUAAGCAAACAAAGCUUCACUUAUAUGAGUAUCAUAUUGGACAUCUCUAAACCAUGUCAUGUCUUGCAUAAGAGGAAAUUCUCCUAAAUCUCCUGAAAAUGGUAAAUUUCUGUGAGUUCUUUGUCUUUUUUUAUCACGUUCUAAUUUCUUCCUUGAAUACUAAUGUAAAUACUUCUUGCAAAUAAAUAAGCUUAUAAAAGCUCGUUUACCCUUACCUAUAAGCUAUAACCUUGUAUCAUCCUCAAGAAAAUAACAUUUCAUAACCUUGACUAAGUGUAAUAGUAAAUAUACUUGAGUAGUCAUUGCACCUAUAAGUAGCUCAGCUUCUUAAGAGAUAUGUAGUAAUUAUAACUUUCUGCUUCAUUGUUGGGAUGAGAUUUUCUUUUUUAGUGUGGGACAUAACAAACUUCUUGUUAAAAGCUUAAAAAUGUAAUACUAUAAUAUUAAAUUUUCUAAGUCAAAGUAUUAAUAUGUCCAUUAGUACUAUAGGUAGUAUAUCCUACAUAAUUUAAAGUUUUUGAAUGAUAUUAACAAAGUACAUAUUAAUCUUAAAAUAUGUAGAUAAUCAUGGCUCUUCAUGCCAUAAAACUUACCUUUAUCUCCAACCACAUUGGAGUAUACAGUUUCAUAACUAAUAGGAAUUUUAAAGUUUCAAAUCCUUUCAUCAAGUAUAAUUUUUUAUUCACACCCUCUUUGUUUAAAUUAGAAAAAAAUAUAAAGUUAGUUCUUACCCUCUUUUUUAAAAAUUUACCUCACCAUGAUAAUAUAGAUGUAGUUUAAUCUUUGUAUGAAAAUUAAUUCUUAAAUUUUGCUCUUUGUCCUUUUAGUCCCUUUUUCUAGUGAGAAAAUUGUAAAUUAUCUGAACAACAUUUUUAAAAAUAUGAAUUUAGUCACAAUUAAUGUUUCCAAUAGAUUGAAACAUAAAACCCAACUAAUAUCAACCUGCUCAAUUCCCAAAGCUUUCACAACUUCCACCCAAAAACUUUCUGUGAUUUUAGUAGGUGGAAUUUCAUUCUCUUCAAAUCCAUUAAAUAGCUUAUAAUCAUCAUCUUAUAAACUCAAAAAAUAUUAAACUAUAAAAGUUUUACUUAUGUUUUAUACUCCCUUCUAUAUGGAUUAUUAAGGUCAUCCAAGAAUUUUCUGUGGUCAAGUUACACGUGCUUUUUGGGUUUCAUAAACAAUCCCCUAUAUAAACUGAUGCCCAUAGUCAAGGCAAAAAUAAUUUCACUUAAAGUUGAUAAAUCUAUAAAAGUACAAUAUUGGAAAGUCACGUAUAGUCCACAGAAGUAUUAAUUGUCCUUUGGCUAACUCAUAUCAACACAAGACACACUAUUCCACAAUAUUUUAAAAUCUAGAAUCAAGUGAAAGAAAAUAUUAGGUCUUUUUUUUGAAAUAAAUAAAGAGUAAAACAUGAAUUAAAAAUACCUGAAAGUAUUGUUGCCAUAAAAAAUAAUACCCCUCCUCAACUGCCUAUAAAACCAACUUUGAUACUCCUUAUUAUGAUAAUCUAUAAUACUUUCAUGAAUUUUAUUAGAUACACACCAUCUGCAACAAAUGAUAAGAACCUAUUAUCUAUCCAACUUAUCACAAGCUUUGCAAUUUCCUUACUGUUAUACCCUUAAAUUGAUAGGAAAAUAAAAAAUGACUUUUUAGGGCACCUCAAAAGUAACAUCUUGCUUGUAUUGUAACUUAUUAUACUCAAGACACCUUAACUUGUUACAAUUGUCACUUCGGAACAAAAUGCAAUUGUUAACACAUGUAUAUUUUGUUGCACUUCAAUAUAUUACCUUUUUUCCAUUUUCUUGUAAGGUGGUGGAAAUUUUGUUUUCAUUUGAUAUUAUUUUAUGAAGCAUCUACAAAAUAAACUUAGAAUAAUUUAUAAAUAUUUACAAAUCUUAUAAUAACCUCAAUUUGAUUCUUGAAUAUAUAGAAGUGUUAAUAAAGAACAAAUCACUGAUAUCUUUACUUCUCAAACUAUAAAAAUAUUUUUAAAACUGAAAAGUAAUGUAAAAUAAACUUGAGUAAAUUUACUUCAUUAGCAUGCAACCAUGAAUGAAAAUAGUCAUGAACCUCAUUAAGCUUAGAUUAUCUUGUUUUUCCAAGAUGUUUUAUUAUUGUGGCUCUUUUUGCAUAUGAAUAUGUGAACUUGGUCCAAAAAUUAAAAAAACAUAAAAAGGUAUAAACUUUAAAGGGGCAUUUUGAUAUAACUUAUAUAUUCGACAAUUGUGGUAUACCAUCGUCUUCACAUUUGCUUCACUUUAAGCGAGUAGUAACCUGCUAGUUUCCAGCAAGAGCCACAAGAUAAUUCUUUGUUGCAUGGGUUAUAAGAUCCCAUAAGGAGGAUUGAGAGUGACGGCAAUGAAAAGUGGUGUUGAGGAGACUCUUCACAAGCUUUUUUGUUCCCUUAGCUACUGCUAUUGUCUCCUUAGUCACACAUUCCAGGAUUCACUGUUGGUUAGCCAUUGAUGCUAUGAAUCUAGGUGAAGAGGAAAAAGAUUUAAAAUUUUGCAAGAAAGAAUGGAUUUUAGAUUACCUUUUACCCAAAAGCAUCUAGUGUACAAGGAGUUAUGUUGAGGCCAGGGAAGUGGCUUCUUCCUUGAAUGUUGGUAGCUAGCAAAGAUGCUCCCUUUCUUGGUGAAAUUGGAGAGAUUGGAACCACAAAGAAACCUAUGAGAGAUAGUAUUGAUUGCUUGGCUUGACUACAAUAAAACCUAAAAUGUGAAGUUGAAGCAUAGUUAAAGCAUAGGAUGUAUGUAGAAGUGAAGGGAGGAAAUAAAAGAGAAGGUUCUUGGAUCACCUCUGCCAGUCAAGUGCAAAUGCUCUUCCUGUUUGGCGACUCAAUCUUCGACACCAGCAACAACAACUUCCUGCCUGGCUUGCUGGCGGUGGCCAACGUCAUGCCUUACAGGACGACGUCCUUUGGAGUGCCAACAGGAAGGUUUAGUGAUGGCAGGCUGAUAGCAGACUUCAUCGCCGAGUUCCUGGGACUACCAUACAUUCCACCCUUCAUGUAGCCGGGGGUGAGCUUCAUCCACGGUGCAAACUUUGCGUUGGCUAGCAGCAGCCUGCUCAAUGCCACCGACACACCGCUCGGGGUCCUCUCGCUCUACGCACAGAUGGACCAGUUCCAGUACCUCUCGACCGUCAUGCGGCAGCAAAAUGGCGACUGCCACGAGUUUUAGUCUAAAGUUUAAAUAAAAAAAUGUAGUAAUAUAUAUGUACUUAUAAGGUCUGUAAAUGCAUAUAUAUAUAUAUAUAUGUAUAUGUAUAUGUAUAUGUAUAUGUGUGUGUAUGUAUUUACCCUAUUUUUAAGCAGUGGUCUAAACCCUCAUUAAUAUACUUAUUUCUGAACACUCAUAUUAAUAGAGCUGAAAGGCACUUCAAUUCAUCCCUAGAGUUUUUUUGUAAUGCUUUACUUAGUGUUUGGGAUUUUGUUUUUGUUCUUAUUCCUUCAUUCUCUUUCAUAUUUAAGUUUGAGUUUGGAUUUCUCUAGAUCUAGAAUUGUAACUAUUAAAUAUAUUCUUCCUUUUUCAAUCUCCAUUGCAUUUUCUUCUUUCAUAUGCUCAAGAGUUUGGCUCUAUCCCCUUAUUUAAUGGCUUAAGACUUUGAAACUCUAGUUUUAUUCCACUGCCUUUGGCCUAUAUGUUUAAAGGUUAAAGUUCUAUUAUGUGGUUAUUUUAUGAUAAUCAUUAUAAAGUAGAGGGUGAAAACUAUAUAUAUUAUAUAUUCCAAUUAUUUGUGUGUUGCUAUUUUCAACUCCUAUGGGAUGUGAUUACAUGGCUUAUUUGUUCUUGGUAUCCUACCAUCUUUUAUUGAUGUAAAGUGUAAUGAUUGGAGAGCUAUAGAUGAUGUGAUAUAACUUUUAGAGAAUGUUUAAAGAUCAUGUUUAUAAGAAGAUAAUGUGUAUAAGCUUGAGUGGGUUUCUGAUAUUGAUGAGGAAUUUAAUUAUCAAGAACAGAGUGCUUUUGUGUUUUUGGCCAUAUCUGGAUCUUCUCUCAUUCUUGGAGCUUCUCCAUCGUGCAGCAAGUUCCUGCCAAUGACUAGAAAGAUUUCUAUGUGGGGACUUUCAACGGGACGAUUCACAUAGUUGCGGGAGGCGGCGAGCCAGUUCCCGGAGAGCAGGCCAUCGUGGAGCUUGAAUCAGGACUGCGACUUUAGCUACACCAAGCUCACCUCGUUCAAUCGCUCGUCGCUGCUGUUCGAGUACAAGAAGAGCCGCGAUGGCGAAGUCUAUGACCGGUUUUGGGUCCACAGGGAGUACAAGGACGUCCUGGGCUGCGACUCUCUCAACAUGUUUUGCCCCCUGGUUGCCUCCGCCGAGAACUAUCCAGCAUAGCGAUCACGAUCAUCCAGUGACCAUCUUCACGAUCUUCCUGACUGACAACCAAAUUUUUGUGUUCUGCCAAUUUUUUUUUUUUUUUUUUUGAAACUGGAUUUGGGUGGUGCGAGGCUAACUUUCGUAACUGUUUGAUUUUCUUUUUCCCGGGAAGAGGGGAAAAAAAGCGAAGGGCGAUGAGGAUUGUUCCAAAUCGAUCCGCUGGGGAGGAGAAGCUCACCUCUCCCUCGGCCGUGACCGAGAAGUGCCUCAUGAGCAUGAAGAAGACGGACUUGAUUCGAUGGCUCCAGCAACACAAGGUGGAAUUGCCUCCAAAGGUAGCGUAAAUCUCUCCCUCGCUCUUGUCCUCCUCUUCUUUUUUCUAGAAUCCACUCCAAGCUUUCAAAUCCUUCCUCUUUCGUCAAGCAGUGAGAUUCAAUCGAUGUACGAUCCCACAUUGCCAUGUCUAACUUGCAGAACCAGCUCAAGGAGUACUAUCUGGGCAUGGCUCUGCAAAAACACGCAGAGCUCGGAGGAGGCCACCGGCAUGUCCAAGUCGCCACCAGACGCCACCCAAGCCAGCUCCCGAGAGGAAAAGGGUAAGAAGAGAAAACCUUGACACAUUGUUUGCAUAACGAAAGAAACUUGUAGAGAGGGAGGCCGAGGCGAAGAUCCAAGUCGCCUCAUCCUUCCCGGUCCUCCCACCUAAGGCGGUUGCGAUCCUAUCUCCCGGGGAGGCCGCUGUUGGGAUUUCUAGGCGUGGGGCUCAGCAGGAGAAAGCUGCUGAGAUUCAUCUUUGUGGCCGCGAUUGUGUUUGGUGUGCUUGGUUACGCGUACCAGGUGAGGAGAUUCCAAAGGAGGAGGAAAUGGUGCUGGCAAAGAUGACUAUAUUGUUUAAUGUUCUGGCAUUAAAGAAAACAAGAUUGAUUAGAAAAAGAUAUUUUAGAUCUUAAUUCUUAUAUAAGGAGAUUAGACAACAUGUGUAAGCGCGGAGGACGACCAAACAUAAACAAACACAGUGUAUAAGACCAUGUCAAAGUCAUUGAAAAGUGUGGACUCCAUGCAAUUAAGGCAGCCAAAUUUGACAGUGAUAUGGUCAGAGGAGAAGAGUUCUCCUCAAAAUUGCCAUGCAAACGUAGAGAAGACAAAAGAAAAAUGUAGGCUCACUUCACUGAAAUUCUCCCUUGCGUGUUGUAUAGUAGCAUCCCAAUUGCUCAGUAUAAAAGCCCAUCCCCUCACCACAAUUUUCAUUCAUUCUUCCAAUUUCAUUCAUCCAUCCUCAUAUCAUUUGAUCUCGUCCCAAUUGUUCCAGAGCUUAUCGAGCUUGCUUUGAGAAUCCUCGUUCCAGAGAGCUCGAGUUUUAGAUCCAUGGCCAUGGCGCCCGCUUCGUCAAUCCUGCUUCUGAGCACCAUGAUCAUCGCAUUCUUGGCCAGCGCAGUGCUCUCCGACCCAGAUCCACUCCAAGACUUUUGCGUCGCGGAUCUCACCGCAUCACCGGGCGUCAAUGGCUUCCCAUGCAGGAACGCGUCCAGCGUCACGGUGGAGGACUUCAUCUACAGAGAAAUGGUGAAUCCGGCCAACAUCACCGCCAUGAAUCGCGCGGGCGCAGUGUUUGGAACCGUGCUGAGGUUCCCCGGGAUCAACACCCUUGGCCUCUCCAUGGCCAGGCUCGACUUGCUACCCGAGGGGAUUAUCGCGCCACACACCCAUCCCAGGGCCACGGAGAUGGUGUACGUCGAGGAGGGGAGCGUAUACGCCGCCAUUGUCACCGCGGACAACCGCUUGUUUGCACAGGUGCUGACCAGAGGCGAGGUGAUGGUAAUUCCGCGUGGAUUGAUCCACUGGCAGAUGAAUGUCGGCAGGAACAAUGCCAAGAUCAUUGCUGCGCUCAACUCUCAGCUCGCGGGGACGCAAUUUAUAGGGAGGUCCAUGUUUGGAUCGAGCCCCCAAGUGCCCGACGAGGUGCUAGAAAAGACCUUUUUUAUCGACAACACUACCAUCAAUCAGGUCCGAUCCGUCUUUGCUUGAUUUAAUCUUCUUUGAUCUUCCAAACUGAAUGCACAUUCAAAUUCAAUAUUGAAAGGUUUAGUUUCUCCUUCUUAAUUAUUUUUUUAAUCUCAAAACUAUUUAAGAAGAUUAGCAAGUUUUGUUAUAUAAUUUAUUUUUGUUAUUUUGCUCAUAAAAUUCAUAUCCAAAAGCUUUUAAUUGGUUUGAGUUUUUUCAAUAUUAAUGUUUAUUACCCUUAAAAAUUUUUUUUAAAGAGUUCCUACAAGAAAUUACUUUUCUCUUUUUAAUUAGAAUUAAGGAUAUUAUAGAUAUUUUGAUAUAAUUUUUUAUAAGUUAGAAUGGUUUGAAAGGAUAAAUUAUGUGCUAUUAAUUAUUUUUAUUAUUUCUUUUAAAAUUAUAUUGAUGUGAAAAAAUCAUUCUAAGCCAUAAUAGUUUUGAUCUGUUAUUAAUUGUAGAACACUCAAGCACAAAUAUGUAAACUAUUAGGGAGAACAAGAAAUUUCAAACCCCAGUGCAUUCCAUUGAUCUCAGCAAGAUCAAAUCAUCUAGCUUGGACUUGCUAAGCUUUGCAGUCAAAGAAGGUAUAAAAUGCUUUAAUCCAUGGUAUGACAUUUACCUCACAUGGCAGUGAUUAUAUCUAUUUGUAGCAAUGUUGGCUAAAGGUGGAGGAGUGCAAGAUCAUUUGAGCACAUCCAUCAGUCAAUUUGGAUUUACAAACAUAAACAUAAUUUGAAUAAACAUUAAUUUUAAAUCAGACCUUGAUUAUAAGGAAAUUAGAUUAAAGAUAAAAUUUAGAGAUAAUCUAGGAAUAUUUAUUACAAAAUAGGUGUAAUAUAGAUCCUUAGCACCAGUGAGUAGGAUAUGACAAGAACACAAUGUUUGAAAGAAAUUCUUUUCUUAUUGCCAGUGUAUAUAACUAGGUAAUAUAGGUUCUUUUAUAUUAUUUUUUCUAUCACAGUUUUUAAAAAGAUAUAUUACUGAGAUGAUACCCUAAAGCAUUUUAAUUUGACAUUGAUGUAUAAAAUCUAUAAAAAUGUUUUUUUUGGAGUUUUAAAAGUAGUAAUAAAGUAUGGUAAUGAAUGUGUAAUUGCACAUGGGUGCAUCUUUUAUUUAUAUAUGUACAGAUUUCUUUUUUUUUUUAAUUGCACUUAAAAUAUUAUGCAUAAAUCAGAUUGAUUGCUAUAAUAGUAAUCAAAACGGUGCAUUAUAAAAUUUGAAUAGGAUGUAGACAAACACUUCAUGCAUAUAUGAAACCAUGUCCUUUUUGAGUGAUUCAAUUCAAGUUAUGAUCCAUGAAAUUUGACAUAUACAAAAAUGUGCAAAACACAGGCAAAAGGCAACACUACCUUGAUUUUCAUUGCCGCACUAUUGAAAGUGACAAAUACCUCCUUAUACUUCCCAAGAACAUAGUCUAUACCUCAAUCAUGGCCACAACACUUUACUGCUCAAGGUUAUACUGUGUUGCUGGCUCGAUUGCAUCAAGCACACUGCCUAGCAGUAGGAUCAAACAAUCUUUAUCAAUUUGUUGAUAAUCUCUUCAAGCACUUAUUGUUACUUUAGGAUCCUACUCCUUUGGAUCAAACCCUUGUUCUUCGUGAAGAACUUGAUUGCCAUGGCAAUGUCAAAGCAAGUGCUCUAAUGUGGCAAUGGUGUCACUGAAUUGGCAUAGCUGGUAGUGGCCAGUGGCCAGUGCGUGGAGGUUCAUGGCUAGUGCUCUUUUGGAACAAUAUUCGGUUUAACUACACUUCCAAUCAGUGGACAAAUCAAAUUUAAAAAACAAAAAAUAAGAUGCUAAUAUGACAAAUAAAUUGAUGUGGUUUAAGAAUUCAUAUGUAUAUAUGAACUUGUUUUCAUGGUUAAUUCUAUGACACUACUUCUUAGGGAAUGUAAGAUAAUCAAGAGCAUUGUCUCCAAUGAAAAAUAAGUGAGCAUCCAGACUUAUGUUGCUUUACAUUCAUACGCAUGUGAAAUCAACAUGCAACACAAAAGUUUUUUUAUAUUCUUAAGCAUUUUAAUGUAUAAAAUUUUAUUUCCAAUAGAUUCUGUUGAGUAAAAAUGUUGGCUGACUAAGAAAAACAUAAAAAAGUAAUUAAACUAACCUUUGAAUACUAAUUAAGCCUUUGAUAUGGCAGGAGUAGUUAAUAUGUGAUUGCAGGUUUUGGGGGAGAACAUGUAGCAUGGCAAAAGUUUUGUUAUACUGAAUAUGUUUAACUCAUAAAAUAAUGUUGAACACACCAGUUUUUUUUAAGGUAUAUAUAUUUUUGCAUGUGUUACAAUUUUCUUCAAUUGUAGUCUCAUAUUAAUAACCUUAAUAUAAGUUAUAAUGCGAACCAAGAAGAGACAAAAUUAACUUUGAAUUCUGCUACAAAACUAUAAAGUACUAAUCUCCCAAGCACCAAUCCAUUCCAUCUCAUUCAUUCAAUCAAAGCCUGUGUAAUCAGUUCUAUCCCUAUUGUAGCCAAACAAUAUGGCUGUAUCGAAAAUUAUAUUCUUCAUGUUCUUCACAUUAGAUCCACUCCAAGACUUUUGCAUUAGAGACCUAAGCGCCAUGAUCAUCAAUGGCUUCCCAUGCAGAACUCCUCCAACACCACAAACAUGGAUCGCUCUGGUGCAAUCUUCCUUUUGCACAUCCAAGCCUCAAUACCCUGCAUUGCUAGGCUCGAUUUCCUUUCCGAGGGGAUCAUCCCCUCCACACACCCAUCCCAGAGCCUCAGACAUGGUGUACAUUAAGGAGGGGAGUGUCUAUGCUGCCAUUGUCACUGUGGACAACUGCUUGUUUUCUAGUGUCACUACUACACAAAAGCAUUAUAUUGAAGUGUUUUUCUAACAAUUUUUUUGUGUUUUUUGGAACUUUAAGUUGUAAUUUUCAACUACUUGCUAUCAACUUAAAUGUUACUAGAAAAUUGGCUUUAGUUACAAAUUUUAAGUUGUAAUUUCUGAUAACAUUUAUAGUUACUCAAAUUUAAGUUGGAAACUAUAGUUGUCCUUUACAACUAAAAUAUAAAUAAAAAAUUUUAGUUGUAUUUUAAAACAUAUUCUUUAAUAUUAGAUAAGUUCAUAUAUGUUGCUAAUUAGAGUUGCAAUUGACAACUUUUAACCUGCAACUAAAAUGUAAGUUCUUAAGGUUUGUAGUUGCAAAAGUUUUAGUCACAAAUUUCAACAAUAUUUACAGAAAAUAAAUUAUAGUAAUGUACCUACUUUUAACUCAUAAUUUCCUAACAAAAGGACUUUGUUUUCUUUCUCAGAUCUAUAUUAUGUUUCUUGUUUAGGAUUUAGGAAUAAAAGUUGCAUGUUGGUGUUUAAGAUGUAAAGGUAAUUAUAUUCACCUCAUACAAAUUACUAUACAUCAUAUUCAUUUUUAUAGUAAACAUCCUUCAACACCACAUAAUACAUGGUUUCCAGUAGAAGAUAUUCAAGGGAUUAAAUUACAUAGAUCUACUACUUCAAUAGAAUAAUUUUUUGAAAUUGGUGAAAGUUUUAUACUUUCAGAUGAUUGUGGUAUUAAUUUGAGUGGUGGUAAUGGAGGUGGAAAUGAUAAUAUUGAGGAUGGUAAUGUAUUUUAUUAUUUUUCAGAAUGGUUACAUGGAAAUGAAGACAAUUUAUUACCUAUUUAUGAAGGGGCUAGUGCUUAUAUUUUUUCAGCUUGUUUAAGUAUUCUAAGCUAUUAUUGGAAUAUCAAACCAAGCAACAGAUCAUUUUAUAAGGUAAUUUUAUUUAUUAUUUAGUAUUAAAUUUUUCAUUAUUUGGAUGAAGGCUCUUCAAACAAAUGUUGCCUACAAAUAAUAUUUUUCCAAAUAAUUAUAAGGAAUUGGUAAAAAUCACUAAACAUAGUGGACUUAUCUACAAAAAGAUUGAUUCAUGUAUGAAUGAUUGUAUGUUAUUAAAGACCUUCAAUUUUAUCAAGUUUGUAAUGCUAAUGGCAAUAAAGAUUUUAAUAAUUAUAUACUUGAGAAAAUAGUGAGCUAUUUUUUUAUUAUACCUCGAUUUCACAACAAUUUCAAUGUACAGUAAAUAGCACAAUACAUUACUUAUCAUUUUUAUCAUUGAUCCAUUCAUGGAAUAAUGAAAAUGCCUACUGAUGGUUCAGCUUGGAAAACGUUCAAAGAUGAUUAUCUAGAUGUUGCAACAGAUCCAAGAAAUAUACAUCUUAGUGUAGCUGCAAAUAGUCUUUCUACAACAAAAUUAAUGGCAAAACCAUAUUCAUAUUUGGAAAUUAUUGUAGUCAAUAAUAAUAUACCACUAACUCUAGCAAUUAAGCCUUUAUUUAUAUUUCCUAUUAUGAUUAUACUAAGUAUUAGUUAAAAAUAAAAUAAAAUAACUAUAUUUAUAAUUUUUCUAGGUCCAAAACCUAAUAUUUAUUGGUAAUUAUUUAUGGAAGAGUUAAAAAAAUUAUGGGAUGGAGUGCUAUGCAAAAAUAAUUUUAAGCUAGAGGGUCAAUAUUUUUUCAAGUUUAGAAUAGCAGUGCAAUGGUUUAUUCAUGAUUUUUUGGAUUUCUUAGAUUAUGAUCACGAAAUUUACAUAAAUGCAUAAUUAUUGGUCAUCAGUGUUUUCUACCUAUAGAUCAUCCAUUUAAGUCUACUAAUAGAAGGUAAGAUUUUAAUUAUUAUUUUUAAAAAUUAAAUUAACCUAUAAUUUUAAUUAGUUUAUUUAAUGGUAAUAAUUGUAUUUGACUAAUACUAGGAUAGAUAACUCCAGAACAAUGGGAAAUAUAUUUAUAUUUGGUUAGACACGAAGAUCAAAUAUCAUUACCUAAUGAUAAAAAAUGGUUAUCCAUAUUCUAUCAGUUUUUAUAUUUUUAUAAGUUGCAAGUAAUAUUCUUAAAGGAUUACGUAUAUAUAUUUAAAAAUAUUUCUGAAACUAUAUAUAAAACUAUUACUGGUAAGAAUGAUGGAUUAAAUACUAAAAAGGACUUAGUUGCAUGCAGAAUGAAGUAAAAUAUGUGGCCACGACAUGAUGGAAACUUUGAUCAUGGGACUUGGUUAUUAAUAAAUCAUUAAAAUAAAUUGUUUAUUAAUAAUAUAAAGGCUUUUAAAAUGCCUACAACAUAUGGAACUCAUUUUCAAAUUAUGUGGAUGAGAAAGGUAAUUUAACUGGUAUAAAAUUCAUGAUUGGCUUUAUUUACUACAAGUAAAUUUCUAUAUUUACUAUUACAUAAAUUAAUAUUUUUAAAAGGAUUUUUAUUCCAUUUUUAUAAUGGGAAACACAACACCUCAAUUACGGAAAGUAAUAUAUUUGCUUGGAGAAGUUACAAGGUACUAAUUGAUUUAAUUUUUUUGAAUUCAAUUAAGUUUAAUUUUAAUUAGCUUUUUAACUGCUCAAGAAGUAGAUAAAUUUUUAAUACCUAUUAUGCAAGAAAGAUUUAUCAUAUAUGUAUAUUUAUUAGGAGCAACUAUUGUUUUUCUAAAACUAGUAUAUGCUUGCUAAAAUUGAGGUAGGGAAGCUUAUUUGCAAACUUGGGAUAAGUUUGGGAUCCAAAAAGUGAGACUAAAGGGCAAUUGUGGCAAAAAGUAUAAUGCUUGCAUCGAGGAGGUGAAGAAAGUGUAUAACAACUAGGGCCUUGCAAUGAGUAUUUUGUUUUACUUAAAUACUUCUCUCUUUAGUGGCUGGUGAAUGUAAGUAGCUUUUUCAGAGUAUGAAUUGACAAGCUAUGGGAAACUUUUGUCAAGAAAAAAAAAAUUAGAGAUUUCACAAAGUACUUCAAUCUAUCAUCUAUUCCUUUUUCAUUUCACUCUAUUCUUUCCUAACCUUUUCUUAUGUCCUGAUUUGAGUUACUUUUUCAUAUAUUUUUUGUUUCUUCCUCAUUUAUAACAUUUCCUUUUACUUGCAUUUGAUCAUUUUUAGUUUAAUAUGAAGUUGAGAUAUGGAUGUUGAGCAUGUGCAUAGAGCAAAAAUCUUGUUUUUGUUUCUUUGAUUAUUUUUUAGUGUUAAGUAUUCCUUUAUUCCAAGAGUUUUGUCAUUUUUCUCAAUUUUUGGUUGAGUCCAUUUUUCCCGAUAUAAGUGCCAUUAAGAGUCUUUGCCUUACCAUUGUUGUUGAAGAGUUUUUCUUAUUCCCUUGAAUGGUCAUCCUAUAAACAAAAGUGCACCUCUUUUUUAAAUCAGUUAAGGGAUGUUAUAUUUGGACUUCCCAUCAAUCAUUUAGCCUAGUACUACUCAAACUUAAGAACAUUUAGUUCUAAAUAUCCCAAGACCCUUAACUGAUUAGAGAAGGGAGUGUGCUAUUGUUCAUGGCUCUUUUCUUUUAUAUUUUAAUUUUUAUGGAUCAUCUCUCAAGGUGUUCCCUUUGGUUGCUUAUAAUCUGUCACACUUCCCUGCAAAUUCAUGCCCUCAUGAACAAAAGUUGAGAGCUAUAACUCUCUUGACAUUUUACCCCUCGGGUUGAAUCUAGCUGGAGGCAAAUUAAAUUUGCCAGAUAUCAUUAUCAAUAUAUGGUGUGAUUCCCUUAGUCAAUCAAUAGAGUUGGACCCAAAACCUUUUUAAUACUAAUGUAAACUUCCAAAUUUGGACUUCUCAGACGAUCACUUAGUUUAGUACUACUCAAACCUAAGGACGUUUAACCCUAAGUAUCUAAAGACCCUUAACCAAUUAAAAAAGAGGAUGCGUUUUUGUUCAUGGGCUCUUUCCUUUUAUAUUUUAACUUUGAUAGAUCAUCUUUCAAGUUGUUCUCUUUGGUUACUUACACUAAAUUUAAGAGCUUAUAAAUAUAUUAUAACAAAAGGUACUUUGUUAAACAAGCUCUAAGAACAUUUAUUACUUUUAUUUCCUUAUUGCUACUUUGGUGUACUAAAAAUUUCUUUUUUUGAUACUUGUUUAUCCAUUUUUUUUCCACAAUGUUCUUUUUCAAUUUUUUUUCACUUUCUCCUCUUUUCCCUGAUAUUUUAAACUUUUUUUUCUUUAAAGGAAGGGGUAGAAUGAUGGACAUGAGUUCAACCCUAAUAAUAGAGUGAGGAUAAGCAAAUACAGUAAUAGAAUAAGGACAAAUGACAUAAAUAUUGCAAGUAUAGCAAGCCCAAAUAAAAUAUCCAACUUUAAUUUAGUGAGGCCAAAUGAAAAUAUUGAUAAAAAAGAGAGGAUGAGUGUAAUAAGUUCAAAUAGAGUUAGUGCUCUUUUUUUCCUUAAGGAGGGGAUAAGAAGAAUAAACAAAGUGGGUUUAACUUUUUAUAUAGAAUGUUAGAUGAGGAUGAAGGUUGUGAGUUUAGGUUCAAAAGUUGACCAAAGUAAAGACACAAAAGUAGGUUUGUAUGGUCAGAAGUUUGGAUUAAUAGAGAUUUCAGAGGAUGGCUGAUGAGCAGCAUUAAAGACAAGAUGUAGUGUAUACUGCAUUAUAGUAUUUGGUGGACUAUAAUAUAUAUAUAUAUAUGGAAAGGGAAUAUAGAAAAUGUGCAUAUCAAUUAGCCCAAAAACCCUAGUUUAUAUAUAAGAGCACGGAUUGAAACCAAUCCGACAGGUACUAAAAUCCCACUACAUUAAUAUUAGUAUACGGCAUUGUAGCCGUACACCUAGUAUUCACAUCAACCCUUCCUCUCGGAAUAAUAAAAGACCAUUAGGGUUCUCUUGUAGAUGGGCCGGGAUCUAGAGGACCGUAAGAAGGAGGCAUCAGCGGAUCUAUAGGUGGUAUUAGUUGUUCUUGAUCCUUUUGUAUGAAGCGUUUCAACCGUUGCAUAUGCACAAUUUCUGGAGGAUUGGCCUGGUGGACAUCAUGCCAAACGUCAUAAACUUGGGGUUCAACUUGCCGCAACACCUAAUAUGGUCCUUUCCACUGAGCAAGAAACCCCUUAGAUAAACCACGUACCAUAAGAUGGGGAAAACGGACUAACACUAAAUCAUCCACUUUGUACUUCGCAUGUGGAUGAUUGUAGCGCAUGUGAUCAUGGGAUGAGAUUUGGAUAUACUGUCACCGUGGAUCCUUGAAACCUUGGGGGAUAAAUGGGGAUAAAAUAGCCACUAAGGGCUCUCUCAUCAAGCAAUUGCCCCUUUUCCAGUUGGCUUAAGGGGAGAGAGAUAAAGUGUGCUACAGUUGGUAUCGGAGCAAAUGGCACGGGUUCGAUUCCCAUUGAUUAGUGGCUACUUCAAAAAAUAUAAUAUACCCUUGAGCAAGGUAUAUUCCUACCCCUAAAUUUGAAAUCGUAUGUAUUGGGCAUCCAUGCGUACGUUCUUCCUCUUGUGUGGAGUAUCCACGGACGAAGGUAUCCACCGUGGGAUUGCGGUACGGGUGGAUGACUAGUUGCCUCACAUGGAAUAACUAAUCUACACAAUGGAAGGAUUGGUAGAUUGAGUGCGGAAAUGGAGGUGCUGGUUCCCCUUGGCUCAGUAGGGGUUGUUAGUCAAUAGUCCUCAUUCGUGGGAUUGCGGUACAGGUGGAUGACUAGUUGCCUCACAUGGAAUAACUAAUCUACACAAUGGAAGGAUUGGUAGGUGCUGGUUCCCCUUGGCUCAGUAGGGGUUGUUAGUCAAUAGUCCUCAUUCGUGGGAUUGCGGUACGGGUGGAUGACUAGUUGCCUCACAUGGAAUAACUAAUCUACACAAUGGAAGGAUUGGUAGAUUAAGUGCGGAAAUGGAGGUGCUGGUAUAACUAAUCUACACAAUGGAAGGAUUGGUAGAUUAAGUGCGGAAAUGGAGGUGCUGGUAUAACUAAUCUACACAAUGGAAGGAUUGGUAGAUUGAGUGCGGAAAUGGAGGUGCUGGUUCCCCUUGGCUCAGUAGGGGUUGUUAGUCAAUAGUCAAUGAGGACAUUGACAUCUCUGAAGGGGGGGGUGAGUGUAGCGCAUGUGAUCAUGGGAUGAGAUUUGGAUAUACUGUCACCGUGGAUCCUUGGAACCUUGGGGGAUAAAUGGGGAUAAAAUAGCCACUAAGGGCUCUCUCAUCAAGCAAUUGCCCCUUUUCCAGUUGGCUUAAGGGGAGAGAGAUAAGGUGCACUACAGUUGGUAUCGGAGCAAAUGGCACGGGUUCGAUUCCCAUUAGCAUUGAAGUUAGUUCAUGUGAGAUUCGUGAUCAUUGCUAGGCAUGACUUGGCUAUAGACUUCUUCGAGCUUUUGGUUCUUUGAGUUUUCAUGCUCAUUGUUCCAUUUGUUAGGAGUUGUUGGGGGAAGGCAUUUUGGCUCAUUAGCUUCGAUGUUGACGUUAGUAUUUGCAUCUAGCAAUCAUUGGUGAUGAUUGACUAUCAUCUAAGAUAGUUGAUUAUCCUUGUCCAGGGUUUUGCUUGAUUAUUGUUGGUAUAGAAUGAUUUGCUGUUCUUCAGGAUAGUAGAUUAUUUCUUCGAUGAUGAUUAUGCAUUUCUCUAUUGAUAGGAUGAUUAAUGAUCUUUUAUGGUGGUUAGUUGUUCUCUUUGAUGGCUUGUGGCUUUUCGCAAUAUCACAUGUUCUUUGUGAUUUGCUUUGGAUUGGUCUCUUGGGUUUGAGACAUCAGUAAGAAGUUGCUGACACUUGCUUAGGCAACUUGAGUUCCUUGGUGUUAUUGGCUGGGAUCUGUUCAGCUUGACUGGUGCGAUAGUUGGCAUUAACGAGUGUUUGUUGGUCUUACCGCAUUCAUUCUAUUUUGUUGAUUAUUGCUCAAGUUAGUUCUGAUAGAUCAAGAUGUUAUUUCCUUCAGGUGAUACAUUCGCGAGCAUUUUGCUUGCCAGUCAAUGAUACUUUGUGUUCUUUGAGUAUUCUUUGGUAAGUUGUUUGGCUUACUGUCCGCUAUCUUCGGUAGUUAAAUUUUAUCAUUGAGUUUCCUUGAUGACAUACUUGCUAUUGAAUUUUGUUUGAUGGUGAAUCCUAUGUUUACCAAUUUUAAUGAUCUUGGUGGUUCCUGCACUAUUAUACUGGUUUAUCAGAUGAUAACUUUCUUGGAAUACUUUUGUGUUCUAAUCUAAGAUAUAUUCACUGAUAAUUAAGUCUCUAAGAUAUCAUUGUUUAUGACUUUGAUAUUGUCCAUCUAUUGAUCUUUGAGUUUGGGCCAGUAUAGGCAGACUGGCUUUGGCACUUCGUGUGCAUGGUGAAAUCUCUAGUCAUGGGGUAGCUACUGUCGACUGGUUACAUAACCCGCCUCUCUGUCGAUGUUCCUUAUUCCGUUAAAAAGGGCGUGACCGUGUAAACAACUCUAACUGCCUAUUUACAGUAGUCUAUCUAAACCUUACUGACGGGUUUGGUUUCUUUGCUCAGGAGGGUUGGGGCCUCUGGCUUCUCUCUCUAUGUCCCUGCGGGCAGGGCAUAUCACACUUUUGUAAGCUGGGUGACUCCUAGAGCAGCAAGGGUGGCUAAUUCCGUUGGUCAUUUCCUUGUCGGCGACGGCCGGAAGGUGUCUAAGCUAGUAGCGCAUCCGCGUUAGACAAAGAGGUUGCCUCCUAACUCAUUUAAGUUGGUGCAUUUCUCACAUAGUGUGCGUACCGUGAACUUUUUCUGGAGUUGUUUCCUUGGCGGUAUUCUAGACUUGAGUAUGCAUCGACGAGGACGUCGAUCUUCCCUAGGGGGGGAGAGUGUCGCGAAUGUGACUUCGGGUAUCGAAAGUUACUUGUCGGCUAGUCCUUUCGGAUAUUCUUUCCUUACUGCCACGAUGGCAGGAGGUCGGUAUUGCUGGACCCGUUAUCAGUCUCCGCCUAAGCUAGUUGAGAAACUGGUCUUUGCGUGUGCACUUGACCAGAUGAGCAUAAGGAAGGAAUUCCUAAGUGUCUAUUUAGUCAAGCAUACUUGACCUGGUUAGAGAAACUCAUUUGUUGACUUGCACUUGCUAGUGUUGGGAACCCCCGUGAUAUUGAGCUUGGUCCCUCAAUAUCGCAAGAUGAUAGCUUACCGUGUCUGCCAAACACCCUCGCUAUCAUGCCCUUUGUGUUGGUCUCAUUUCGGUCCCAAAUGCUAUUUAUGGAAAGUGUCCAGAUUUGCUCAUUUGGCAUAUCUACGGAAUGUAGAGAUCGUUCUGAACACAAUGGUGUUCGUCCUGUGUCCAAAUUCACAAUCUAGGGACAUUCCAUAUUUAGUAAGUUUCGAGCUUGUUCCAGAGACUAACUCCUGAUACUAAGGGAAGCUUGGGGUGAAAGCCCAAAGCGUGUAUUCCUCAAGGGGGGGGGGGUUGUGGGGGGUUCCAAAUGUAUAGUAGGGAUAGUGGGUAGGUCGGGCAUGGCCGACCAACCUGAGGCAUAGUCUAGCUCCCACUUGCGUGCCUGUCCUUGUUCUGCGUCCGGCUUGGGUCUAAGCCCAAGUUCCAUUCCAUGCUAGUUGGUGGAGUACCCAUAUCCUCGCGUUAGGCCACCGGUAUGCUGAAAUAGCGCUAGACUCCGUUUGGCUCCGUUUUGCGUGCUGGUCUUGGCAUUAGGAUGCUGGUUACUCUAGGACUGUUCCAAGUCGCUCCGGGCUCCUGUCCCUUCGCUCCUUGGGCUUCAUGCUCGGGAGUUGCUCCGUGGUUCGGUUCCGUCACUCCUUGGCUCCACGCUUGGGAGUUUGGCACCAUUCCUUUGUUCAGUGGCCCAAGGCCCUGAACCUCGGGUUCUUAUGGACACGUGGCAUGUGACACGUGGCAUCCAUCACGUGGCACAAAGAGGGUUUAGGUUCCGCUUCGUGGUGUUAUCCUAUGGUAAAUCACCAUAGGAUAAAGAGUCAAAACCACGUGCGCUACAAUGAUGAUAGGAGUUGUAACAUCAUUGUUGUUUUACUUGUAUGCAGCCUAAGUGUUCAGCAGAUUUUGCCCCAACAAGUGGAAGAAUGCUCAUCAAAUACUGAUUCCACAAUGUAGUAUCGGUAGCUUGUGGCAAUUACGAAGGUAAACUCAACUCUAUUGGUAAUAUUGGAUCAUGACUAUAUAAAAGUUUAUAUAGUGAAACAUUAAUAGAACUUUGCACCUCUGUGACAUAUGCAUACUGAAAAGAUGGUAAAUAACCAUCUCAAUCUGAAUGCUAAAAGUUCACGUACUUUGCGAUCAUUCCUUUGAAUGUCCAAAUGAGCCGUUCCACCAAACUAUCUGACUAUGGAUGAUAAUCACUCGUGAAAAUGUGGCAUAUCCCCAACCGAGAUGUCAAAACAUGAAAUGCCUCAAACAUAAAUAUGGGACUAUUAUCCAAAAGAAUUCGCUCCAAACAAGAAUUCUGGAACACCACUUGAUUGAGAAGGAAGUAUUUAAUAUCAAUUGCAGAGGUGCUAGCAAAAGCACCAACUUCCACUUAACGAAUCAAAUAGUCAGAAGCAAUAAUAACAUAUUCAUUGCCAACAGUCGAUCGUGGAAAAGGUCUUAUAAAGUUAAAUGCUACUAAUUCAAACAAACAGAAAACUUCAAUUGACUCCAAUUGUCCUUCCACGGCACGAGGGGGAGUAUUACGAGCUUAGCACCAAAUGCAGCUAUACACAUACUGGAUAACAUCAUGUCAUAUCUCCAGCUAAUAACUUGUGCAACUUCUCGAUCACACGACAAUGUCCUAUAUGCUUGCCUAGAAUAGAAGAAUUAUGGUAGGUAUGGAGAAAUUGUGGAAUAAAGACAAAAAGCACCACCAACUGUAAAGGAUCAUCAGGAUCUGUCCCCACAAAAUAAAGAAGGCCAUUUUCAAGGUGAUAUUGAGAAUAUAAAUGUCGAAAUAACAAAUCAUCAACAAGUGAUGUAGGAUUUUCAAACCCAUCUCGAAGCCUUCGAAUCUAUGGCUCAAGCUUUUGAGCCUCGCGAACCUUAUCAGGAGAAGAUAGAUCUUGCUCUGCACCUUGUAGACACUGACUAUCAAGUACAACAACUGCCGACAGCAAAGAAUCCUCAUCUAGAAAAUCCACAGAUGCUGGAAUAACAAGCUCAUCAGAAACAUGAGAAGAGAGUGGAGAAGGAAGAAGAGCUCGAGAAAGGGCAUUAGCAUCAGCCAUAAAACUCCUUAGGUAAUGAACAACAUUAAAAUCAUAUAUUUGAAGCUUCAAAGCCCACUAAGCAAUACGACCAACCAAGUUCUUUCACUUCAAUAAUGAAGUAAUGGCAGCAUGAUCACUUUCAAGUAACGUCCAAGAACCAUGUAGAUAUGCAUGAAGUUUCUUGAAACCCCAAACUACUAUUAAACAUUCCUUCUCUAUCAUGGAGUAGUUCACCUCCACUGGUUGUAAUGUAUGGCUUAUAUACGCAAUGGGAUGGCGCUGACCAAGCAUACUUAGGCUCUCUUGUAUCAACACAUCUCCAAGACCAAUAUCAAAAGCAUCCAUGCGCAAAAUAAAAAGGUCAAGUAUAGUUAGGAUAUGCUAAAAUCGGAGGAGUCGUCAAUAGCUCUUUGAGAUCCACGAAUGUCUGCUCACAAGCUGAAGACCAAAUAAAUGACUUCAACAAUGCCCACAAUGGUGCAGUGCGAUCAGAAAGAUGAUCCACAAAAUGAUCGAGAGAGUGCACCUUGCCCAAGAAGCACUGCACAUCAGUCAUAUACUUUGGAGUAGGGAACUUUAGAACAACCACAAGUUUGUCAAAAUCAACUUGCAAACCCUCACGAGAAAUAUAAUACCUAAGAUAAGUUGUGUCUUUGGACUCAAAUACGCACUUUGACCACUUCAGCUUUAAACCAACAUCCCAUAGCCAAUCUAACACUUUACAAACAUCACAAACAUGCUCCUCCCAUGUCCUCUUUAAGUGAAUCAAGAUAUCAUUAAUGAAGUCAACAAUCACCUCCGACAUAUUGCAAAGAACCUCGUCCAUCAUCCGCUAGAAAAUUUCUGGAGCAUUGUUCAAACCAAACAGCAUUAUCAAGAACUUAUACAAACCAAAUGAUGUACAAAAAGCAGUGUUAGGAAUAUCUUCUUUGACCAUCAGUACUUAUUAGUACCUAGAAGUAAAAUCUAGCUUGGUGAACUAACAACUUCGCCCCAAACGAUCCAAAAGAUCAGCAGUGUGAAGAAGAGGGUACAUAUUUGGGAUCGUCACUUUUGUUUAAUAGACAAUAGUCGAUGCAGAAAUGAAUACUCCCAUCAGACUUUGUCACAAGAUGAGGUUCACAUGCCUAAGGACUUCGUGACUUCCAAAUAAUACCCUUCUCCUGUAAGCAACUAAUUUUUCCAUUCUACUUUUGUCACUUAACCACACCUCUGACCACUUGGAAGAGUCUCAUUCACAACCUCCAUAAGUCCAAUUUAGGACUUGGGGCUUGCUAACCCCAAAGAUGGCAUCUAUGCCACUCAACGUUUGCACUUGGUCCAAGUGUUCCACGUGUCCGAGCCUAUGAUCGACACCCCAAGGUACCACCAACAUCCAGCCCGCUAUGUUAAGGCCAUACCCAUUCACCUUGGUCACACCGGUGGUCCAACACCACCAGCAUCACAAUCCCAUCUCUCAAAGAUUGGGUAAUCCGUCCAUGAGUGGUUCUCUUAGAUCCACUCCUUAGCAUCCUUAGAAUGCCUGCAGAUAUGGGGAACAGCCUUCCCCAUUAUCCCUUUUACGGUCCCCACCAAGUCCCGUUUCUAUCCAUGGCCGUGUUUGCCAACACUGCCACUCGGACAAGGUCCACUAAUCCGACCACUAAGUCUCCACUGUCCUCGGGGACUUCCUCACCACAAGACUGCAUCUUUGGUCACCACACUAGAGGAUUGCUCCUCUUCUUUUCCACAAUUUGGGACUUUGGGACAACAUUUUGGAACACCGUGGCCUUACCCAAACCUCUUGGGUACUCUCCCCACCUUCUGCCUUUGGGUGCUCUAGCCAUGGGCUUAGAGCAAAGUUCCAUUGAGCCACACCAGGUAUCCAAGUAGGUAGUGCCACCCACACUUGGACUAGGAGCAUUGGCCAUUCGAUCUCCUAGGGGAACUAGAGCCGGCUCUUGAACACUUCACCAAGCUACCCCACUUGUCGGUUCGUAUUCACUCUAGUUUUGGACUUCCGAGUGGUCAAGUCAUCACCCAACACCUGGGACAGCCUUUCUGGGCCAAACUAGCCUUUCUUGGCCAAACUAACUCCACUGGGCUCCAACCCUCACACUCUCCCUA